AAAAAUGCUUCAAGGCAAGGAAUGAAGAUGUUCUCUUGGUCUCCUUUCCAAAAUGUGGAACAACAUGGUUGAAAUCUCUCAUGUUUUCUAUCAUGAAUCGAACCAGGUAUGAUUUCUCAGCACACCCUUUGCUGACUUCUAGCCCUCAUGAACUUGUUCCCUUCUUGGAAUUCUACGCAGAGCAGAACAUCCCCUUCCCAGACCUGGACACACUUUCCUCUCCUCAGCUCUUCCAUACUCACAUUGCCUUCACUUCAUUACCCCAACCUGUCAUAGACUCUCAGUGUCGAAUUGUCUAUAUCUGUCGCAACCCCAAAGAUGUGUUUGUUUCUAGUUUUUGUUUUAUCUCGAGAUGUCAUAUAGUGGUUCCCCUCGAAGAGGCAUUUGAGUUGUUCUGCAAAGGAAUUAGCUUCUAUGGACCCUUCUGGGACCAUGUUUUAGGGUAUUGGAAGGCUAGUUUAGCUUCACCCCAGAGAAUAUUGUUCUUGAAAUAUGAAGACGUGAAGGGGGAUUCCUUGUGUCAGGUCAAGAGGUUGGCAGAGUUCAUGGGCUCUCCCUUCUCUUCCGAGGAAGAAGGACAAGGUUUGAUACAUGAAAUUAUGGAGCUGUGUAGUUUUGAGAAUCUAAGAAAUUUGGAGGUAAACAAGACCGGAGCACUAUCUGUGGGCAAUAUCAGCACUGGAAAGGAUACUUUCUUCAGGAAAGGUGAGGUUGGUGAUUGGAAGAAUCAUUUGACAGCUGAAAUGGCCGAUCGCAUUGACAGGAUCAUGGAGGAAAAGUUGAAAGGUUCUGGUCUGACAUUCAGCGACUCCUGUGAUAGCUGAUUAUUAAUUCUGGAGGUGAACUUCAUAUGAUUUGUAUUAAGUUAAUUUAUUAACUAUCUAAUUGUCUUCUGUUAAGUGUGCUUGUGUGCUUGUAAUAAAUGGAAUGAUGGUGUUGAGUUAAUUUGUAUUAAGUUAUAAGGCUUUCUUAAUUUAUAUUUAAAUUCAAUACUUGGGCUAAGAAAUCAAUUCCACCAAAUAUACACAUGGACCAAUUAAAUUGGUCUCAUGAAUAUAACUAACUCAUCCUCGUCAAGAAAUUCCAAAAAUUUAAGGGCAACAUGUGUUUCAUGAGAUUGUUCAAUUUCUCACAUUUUUUUAUUUCAAUCUACCUGAACAAGCUCAAUUAUAAUUGAUUCUAUUACGGUCUCAUUUUCCAUCCGAUAUUGUUCGAUUUAAGACUAUAAUGAUGCACAUAUAAUCCAUCAGUCGAUGUUGAUUUUACUUCUUUAUUUGACCUAUGAAAAAACUUUGAAUGUGUUGUGAAAGUCCUUCAUGUAUAGCUCUUUAAUAUUUUCACAAUAUGAUAUUUUCUUCCUAAUCCAUGGUCAUUGUCUUCUCCACUUAAUUUUGGUGUGGCAUAGUCCUUAUGAAUAUUCUAAGAGUAAUCUCCCAACUAUUGCAUUAGAAUUUAUACUUACUAAUCAAUCAAUCAAUCAAUGAUCAUUGUCUUCGUCAUUGUCCUUAUGACUUGAGAGCAUGGGAUUGCACCAUUUUUUUUUUUUUUUUACCGACAAGUAGUAAUUGGAAGACAAAAAUUGUUGUAUUUGAUAAAGUCAAUAUCAAUAUGUUGGAGCUUAACAUGUAGGUCUUGUUGUUGUAAAUUCAACUUUUGAUUGCUUCAGGGUUAACUCCAUACCAUUUCAAAUUAGAUGUUUUCUGAGGUAUGCAUGCAUAGAAGGUUCGUAAACCUUAAGGAUUAGCUAACACAACACAUUAGAAUGAAAAUGAUGGAGUGAAGGUCUGAAAAAUGCAACACCCUCCUAGCUGAAGUGCUUGUCCUUGGGCAUUCAAACAUUUAGAGAUUUCUUUGCUACUUUCUAUUUCAUUUCUAACUUUAAAAAUUUGAUUUUGAAAUAUUUUUAAAGUAGAAAUCCUCCAUAAUUAAUUUCUAAAGUAUUUUAAGCAUACAUAAGCAUGUUUUAUUGAAAAUUUGUGAGCAUCUAAAUCUCACAAGAGGAUAGUCAUUAUGGAUGUUUGAGCCUCUAUCUUUCAAUUUUUUUCAAGAUAUUUCUUAAAAGAACUUUUAAAUUUGUUUACUACAAUAAAGAUCAAGGACUCACAUUACUUAAAUUUAAUUUAUUAAGGGUUUCAAACAAUCUAAUAACAGGCAUAAGAAAGUAUUACAUUGAGACAUAGAAAGAAAAGUGAUGGUACUGAUGAUAUUAUACCUUAAAAAAUAAGUAUAUCAAAUCAAGCUAAAUGAUAUUUUUUUUUCUUAUAUUUAAUUGAUAACUUGGUGAUCAAGAGAUGAUCCAUGAUCUUUAACCUAGGGGUUCUAGGCAGUUUUUCAUUUUUAUUCUAUAUAUUCUUACAAUUAUUUAGAAAAAGGAUUACUUGCUCGAAAAAGUUGAAUAUUUUUUGUGUAAUUUCCUAACAACCAAACAUUAGCAUAUUGGCAUUAAUUUUGGCUGACUUUCUUUUGGUAAGAAUAAGACAAAUAACUAUAGAAAGUGCUACGAGAUAUUUGUACACUUUAGGUUCCUUAGGAAGUAUAAGAAAGAUUAGUGAUUUUUUAUUUGUUCGAUUAGUUGGUUGAUUGGAGUUUUCCUUUUCGUGUUUUGUUGUCUCUUUGGGUAUUGAUAGGACAUGACCUUUUAAAGAAAAUGAUUCUUUAACAUGAGCACAAUGAACAGUUUUGUCCUUUGCAACAGUAAGUGAGUAUAGAAAUAAAAUGAAAAGAUUUGUACUUUAUAUGAGUUGUUCUUUGGGAAUACUACCUACAUUUGACCUCGAUAAUAAAAUGAUAUGUAAAGUGCAUGUCAUUAAAAAAUUUAUAAAAAUUUAUCAAACUAUAUAACCUAUUGGUGAGAAAUAAUCACAUGCAUUUUAUACGUAUCUAAAUAUCAUAAUUUUUUUUAAAAAUUUAUUAUUAAAUAUCAAAUAUAAUUUGUUAUUUAAUGAACUAUCUAACUCUACAUAAAAAUAAUAAAAAAUCUUAAUUUUUUAAUUGUAUUUUUAAUUUUUUUAAUUUUUAAUUUUAUUAAUCUCAAAUUAAUUCUCAUAUUAAAUUAAUUUAUAUUAUUAAUAUAUAAAAAGGUCAUUUUAGGAAAUAAUUAUUUGAAUCAUGAAAAAAUAUAUAUUUUAAAAUAUUUUAAAUGAGUGAGGAUAAAUAUGAUUUAUAAAAGUUUGAGAUAUUUUUUUAUACUUUUUUGUUUUAAAUUGGUAAGUGAAAACCCACUUUUUCCAAAAAUAAUUAUAUAAACAUGUAGAAUAAAACACUACACAUACAAAUUAUUUUUGAAAAUAUUAAAAAUAUGUUAAAGAUAAUUUAGGUCUUUAAACAAACCUUUGCUUUACAAAAUAUAAGAAAAAAAAAUUAAAAACUGUUAUUUAAAACUAUUUUUGAUUCAAAAACAAUUUCUAGACAUAGCCUAUGUUUUUGUCUUCUUUUCUUUUUAUCUCCUUGUUCUUUACUUUGUUUUCUUAUACUCUGCACAAGGCUCUCUAGUUUCCUCCACAACACUCCUACCAACUGCCGCCACCUUCUUUACAGGCAAUACAGAGCUUAAUGUACUUUUAAAAAAUGAAGAUAAAGAGGAAAUCAUUAAUUGGAUAUUUGGAUGUCAACCUAAUGCAAGCAUUAUAUUUAAAUUGAAUUGUUUUGCAGUUGGUCAGAUUUCCACAUCUUUCCCAAAUAUUGCUGAAGAAUUGGUUUGACAAGUGCUGUUUUCUUCUACAAAAUAAUUGAACAUACAUUAUCACUUCAAAUCAAGUGUCGGGGAAUUAUGCCUUCUUGCUUCAAUGUUAAUCUUGAUAGACAGCUCAUAUUUUUAGUCAUUCCCAUAAUUGUUGCAAUCAUGCCAUUAAUAUAUUUGUGACUAGUGUAUUUAAAUACCACAUCCACAAUCAUAGCUGUAAUUGCUCCAUGUAUCAAGCCAUUACAUGUGUUUAUAUACCCAUGUAAAUUAUGAAUGAAAGCAAGAGUUUUUCUGUUCAAGUUUCUGUUGUUUUAAAUCUAUCAACUCAAAGCUUUACUUAGAGUUAGGGAUGAAGAUAGGCGGGCUCACCCGAUCUAAUUUGAACCCAAUUGGAUAUUUGAACGAAUUUAAACAAUCAUUUUUAAUAAUCAGGUUGGGUUGAGUUAGGCUUUUUUCAACCUGAACUUAAUUUGGAUUGAGUUCGGAUUAAGGUUUAGACAACUAGAGUUUAACUUGAAUCCGAUUUAAUGUUUUUAUAAUAUUUAUAACACAUUUUAUUCUAUAUAAUAAUAUAAGUUUUCUUUUUCUAUUUUUAUGAAAAAUAUCAAAUUAUAUUAGAUACUAUGUUUUUUAUUAUUUUUAGAAAAUAUAUAAAUUUAUACUUAUUCUUUUAUUGCUAUCUUGAAAUUUUGUCCUAUUUGUUAUUAAAAUUUUCAUAUAAAUACAUUAAGAUAAUAUUAUACAUAGAUUUUGAAUUAUGCAACAUGACCAAUUCAAGUGUAACUUGAUCAAUCUGAAUUUAACUUAAACAACCCAAACUCAAUCUAAGUUUAGAAAAAUUAGAUUGGAUUCAACUUGAUUUAAAUACAUUGGGUUAGAGUUCAAGUUGGGUUGAGUUCAAAUUGAUUAUUUCUUAAUUCAAUUUAGGUUUAGGUUAGUCUUCAACUCGAUCAACUCACCCAAUUUACAACCCUAGAUAGAGUACCAACUUUCGAAUCAUACUUUAAUAAACCCAAAAGCCUAAUUAAGAGAUAAAAAAAAGCUACCUAAAAGCAAAUCAACUUGAAUUUUUAUCGAAAAAACAAUAUCAGUAAUACAUUUAAGUUAUGUUUGGUUUUUAAAAAAUGAAGGAAAAUAAAAAAUAGGAUUAAAGUUAAUAAAUUAUUUUUAUAUGCUAGCUUCUUCAAAUUCAUUUAACUUAUUUCUCUCAAUUACCUGAAGAUUAAAUAAUUUUUAAAUAUAUAAAUUUUUAAUGAAUUGUAAUUAUAAUUAAGCUAGGAGAGAUUUACAUUUGAAAAAGUACCAACAUCUUUAACCUAUCUGAGUCAUCUAAGAUAUGUCGAUAUUUCUUAUAAUAAAUAUGAGGUACUUCUUAAUGCAAUUACAAAGCUAAAGCAUUUACAGACAUUGAAACUUUUUCAAUGUUUGUAUCUUAAAGAAUUGCCAAAAAAAUAUAAACAAUCGGACAAACUAGAGGCAUCUUGAGAUUGAUGGGAAUAGUGGAUUGACUUUUAUGCCAUGUGGGUUAGGAGAAUUGACUAUGCUUCAGACUCUACCAUUGUUCUUUGUUGGGAAUAACAACAGGAAUUCUAGUGAUAAGAGAAUUGGUCAGUUGAAUGAAUUAAAAUGCAUUAACAACCUCAGAGGAGAAUUGUAAAUUGCACAACUUUCAAAUAUGAGGGGUGGUUGUGAAUGUUUGCAAAAAAAAAAAAAAAAAACCAUCACACAUUAUCGUGGUGAGUGUUUCUUCUAUAUAUUGUCAUUUACAAAGUACAUAAAAAUAGAAAGAAUAAAUAUGUACAAGAGAAUAGCCUAGAAUUAAGGACAAGAUAUUGAGCCGAAUAUUAAGGUAGCUAAUUAAAGUAAUGUAUCCUUGACACCCCCCACAAGCUGAGCGUCGGAUUUGAAUAGACAUGAAGCUUGGUACGAAAGAAGUCAAAGAGAGGGCGAGAAACACUUUUGGUGAAGAGGUCGGCAACUUGUAGAUGAGAGGGCACAUAUUGAGUGCGAAGUUUACCAACAAUAAGAAGUUCUCGAAGAAAAUGAUAGUCUAAUUCAACAUGCUUAGCCAGUUUGUGGGAAACGGGGUUGGAGCUUAAGAAAAUCGCACUUUUGUUGUCACACGGGAGAAUAGGCUUCGGUGUAAUGGGAACCUUAAGAUCAUGAAGUAGAUGGGUGAGCCAAAGGAGUUCAGCUGCAGUAGUGGCAAGGGUACGAUACUCAGAUUCACAACUAGAACGAGAGACAGUGGGUUGCUUUUUAGCACUCUAAGAAACCAGAUUAUCGCCAAGAUAAAUAGAGUAGCCAAAGGUGGAACAUGGAGUAUUGGGACAACCGGCCCAAUCAGCAUCAGAGUAAGCAACUAGGGCACUAGGAGCACCAAAAGGGCGAAAAGUAAGACCAAAGUGAAGUGUGCCCUUGACAUAACGUAAGAUGCCCUUGACCGCAAGAAAGUGAUCCUCAGUAGGGGCAUGUAGAAACUGACUAACAGAGUUGACAACAUGAGCAAUGUCAGGGCGAGUGAUGGUUAAGUAUUGAAGGGCACCAACUAGGGAUCAAUAGAGAGUGGGGUCUGAGAAGGCAGUACCAUCACUAGUCAGAUGCUGAAAGACAACCAUAGGAGUGUGAACAGGCUUGCUGUUAAAUAACUGGGCACGAGUCAGAAUAUCCCGGGCAUGUUUCAGCUGAUUGAUAAAAAGACCAUCAGUAAUGGAAGUGGCUUCCAGACCAAGAAAGUAGCUGAGAGAGCCCAAAUCCUUGGUGGCAAACUCAGAAUUGAGCUUGUGAGCAAAGCUAUCAAGAAGAGAAGAGUUGUUGCCAGUAAUGAUAAUGUCAUCAACAUACAAGAGCAAAUAAAUAAUGUCAGACUAUUGAUGAAAGACAAAAAGAGAGGUGUCUGCACGGUUGCAAGAAAACCCAAGGGUGAGAAGAAAAGAGUUGAAACGUUGAAACCAGGCACGAGGAGCUCUUUUGAGGCCAUAGAGAGCUUUCUUCAACUGACAGACAUGAUUCAGGUACCGGGGAUCAAUGUACUUAAGAGGUUGUUCCAUAUAACAUUUUUAGUGAGAGUGCCAUUGAGGAAUGCAUUCUUCACAUCAAGUUGGCGAAGAGGCCAUUUGUUGGUAACAGCAAGAUAGAGCACAACACGAACAAUAGUAACCUUAAUAACAGGAUUGAAAGUGUUAGUGUAAUCAAGACUAGGUACCUGAGUAUAGCCUUUGGCCACAAGACGAGCCUUGAGGUGCUCAAUAGACCCAUCAGGCAAAUAUUUGGUCCAUAACACCCAUUUGGAACCAACAAUAUUUGUGUGGGCAGGUCAAAGAACUAGAACCUAGGUGCGAUUAUGUUGCAGAGCUUGAACUUCUUCAUCCAUGGCAACAAGCCAUGCAGGAUUCUUAGUAGCAGACUUGAAUCAUUUAGGCUCGGUGGAGGCAAGAAGAGUAGAGAGAAGCCCAAAUGAGCUUAAGACAUUGAGAUUCGCCGGAUGACGGGUCUUGAAAAUGUCAACUUUAGCUUGAGUAAGCAUGAGAUGAGAACCCAACGGAAGAGCUAGAGUAGGAGCAACAUCAGAAGCAACAGGAGGUGGGCGAGGCUUCAGAGACGGGGAAGAUGGACCUACAAGAGAGUCAGUAACCUGCAAAGACUUGUCCAUUGGGUUAGUACAAAUAACACACGGGUUAGAUUCAGACGGUGUAAUGGAUGGAGAAUGGUGUAGAGGAGACAUCGGAGGGGGGUCAAUAUGAGGCAUGCUUGGUUAAAGGAAAUUCGAAAAAUGGAGAGAAGAAGGGGGUUGGGCUUGGGAGCCAUUUAUGGAGGGAAAGUGGUGUUUAUCAAAUUGAGCAUGAUGGGUGAUAUAAAGCUUAGAGGUGGUGGGAUCAAGACAACGAAAACCUUUGUGGGAAGGGCUAUACCUUAGAAAGAUGGAAAGAAUGCUGUGAGGGGAAAAUUUUUUAGACAUAUAAUCACGCAGACAAGGAUAAACAGGACAAUCGAAAUGAUGAAAAUUCUCAUAAUUAGGUUAUGAACCAUAGAGAAGCUCAAAUGGAGACAUACCUCUGAGAAGCAGUGUGGGCAAAAGGUUAAUGAUGUAGGCUGUAGUGCUGAAGGCAUCAACCCAAAAGCAAGGAGAAAGAUGAGAAUGGAAAAGGAGGGUCAGACCGGUUUCUGUCACAUGUCGGUGUUUUCUUUCAGCACGACCAUUUUGGGUGGGGGUAUAGGGGCAAGAGAGUUGAUGAUGAAUACCCGAGUUGCUAAGGUGGGCUUUGAAGCGAUUGCUUGUAAACUCAGCACCACCAUCACUAUGAAAAUUUUUGAUGCGAGUGGAAUGUUGGUUUUCAACAAGAUUUUGAAAGUGAAUAAAAAUGUCAUAAAAUUCAGAUUUUUAUUUCAAAGGGUAAAGCCAAGUAAAGCAGGAAUAAUCAUCAAUGAAUAACACAUAAUAAAUAAAUCCCGAAGUUGACUUAACGGGGGAAGGACCCCAAAUAUCGUAAUGAAUAAGAUCCAACACAUGAGACAAGCGACGUUCAUUACGAGAAUAAGGCAAGCAAUGAUUUUUUGCAAUUUGACACGUCACAUAAUGAAAGAGAAGGCAACAAUGAGGUAAGAUAAAGAUGGUCAUUUUUAUUUAAUAAAGAAAUAAUUGCUAACAUGUCCAAGACGAGCAUGCCAUAAAUCAUACGAGGCAUGAAGAGCCUUAUUUUUAAGAACAAAAAUGAAAGAGGAAUUGCCGCGCUCCAGCACAUAUAGACCACCAUCUCUUUUACCGGUUGCCACCACCCUUCCCGUUUGAUGAUUCUGGAUAGAAAAAAGUUAUUAGUAAAUGUAAUAGCAAGAAGAGGAAAACCGGAUGUUAAUUUACUAAUUGACAAUAUAUUUUCGUUAAGCGAGGAACAACUAAUACAUCCAAUAACUCAAGAGAUGGGGUAGGAGAGAUGGUACCGGUGUGGGUAAUGGGAAGGGAAGCACCAUUCCCGACAACUACACGAUCCUUACCCGUGUAAUUACUUGCUCGAUCCAAGUGGGAGAGGUCUGGUGUCAUGUGGGCUGAAACCCCUGUGUCCAGGUACCAGUCACUGGGCUUGGGCCUAUUAAGAGAGCAAGAGGCCUUAAAGACCUUAAAGGCCUCGACAAGGUUGGUUGUGGUGCCAACAGGUUCUCCACCUCGUGCAUAUCGCUGGUUUCACUUAUCAGCGUAGUGCCCUUCCUGGUGACAGAUCUGGCAGCGUGGCGGACGGCGGCCCUGCCCGGAGUUGGAACGACCAUUGCCACAGUGGGAAUAUGAGUGGCGACCUGAUUGAUGACGAGACUGGUUUAUGAAAGCUGAGCGAGGUUGACCAUGAUUGGUGGCUGUGAAAGCAGCUGUGGGUGGACCAUGAUUGUCAAGGGAUUUAUGGAAAAGCUUAAAGCUUUCAGCCUUGGAGAACAAAUCAGGAAAGGAGGGCAGUGGCGUUUGAGCCAUUUGGGCGGGUGGAAAAGCUUGUGAAAUCUGAACCAAGGCCACGGAGGAACCAAUGGACUUUAUCAGUGUUGUCGACUGGUCUUCCAAUGGUGUGGAGUUGAUCACAAAGGGCUUUGAACGCCCGAGCAUAUUCGGUUACCAAUCACGUCCCAUGUCUCAUCAAUUGAAGGUCAUCCUUGAGCCGAAUUUCUCUGGCUUUUGAUCAGUGACUGAAUAUAUUUUCGAGUGCUAACUAGACCUCGCAUGAGGUGGAGAGGCCCACAACCUCGGCCAUGGCUUCCUCCGUGAGGGAGGAGAGCAAAAGACUCAAGAGGCGCUGGUCAGUAUUUUUCCAUGCCAAGUGCUUGAUGUUUGGUGCCCGAGAGUCAACAGGAGCAAACCGUGGAGGAGGUGCAAGAGUUCCAUCCACAUGGCCGAGAAGUUCUUGGCUUUCAAGGAGAGGAAGAAGCUGGCUCUUCCAUAGGAGAUAAUUGGAGGAGGAGAGUUUGAUGGUCACCAUGUGAAUCAUGGUGUUGAAAGGGAGAAGGUGGGGGAGGUGUUUUUGAUAGCCAUUGAAGCAAGGGGGAUCGAUGGAGGCUAGUCCGAGAGGGCUCUGAUACCAUGUGAACGUUUUCAAAAAGAAAAAAACCACCACACAUUAUUGUGGUGAGUGCUUCUUCUACAUAUUGCCAUUUACAAAGUACAUAAAAAUAGAAAGAAUAAAUAUGUACAAGAGAAUAGCUUAGAAUUCAGGACAAGACAUUGAGCCGAAUAUUAAGGUAGCUAAUUAAGGUAACGUAUCCUUGACAGUGGUGCAUUAGAUUCCAAGGAAGCAAAUUUGAAAGGAAAACAGUGCCUUCAUGCCUUGAGAUUAUAUUGGUUGGAGCCAAUAGAAUGGAUGAUAUGGGACUUUGAACCAGAAAGGAACAACGUUGAGGAGGCUGAGUCGGUGACUCAAGUCUAAAGGAGCUCUACAUUAAGGAUUAUAUUGGUGAGAGGUUCCCAAGUUGGAUGAUGAAUGAUGGGUUUGGUUCAUUGCUCCCAAAUCUAGUGAAAAUUAUGAUGAAGAGGUGUAAAAGAUUCAGAGUUUUGCCACUGUUCGGUCAACUCCCUUCUCUUCAGUAUCUGGAGCUUGAGUGUUGUAUGGAGAACAUGAAGAGCUACUCAUCAUCAGCAACACCAUUCUUCCCAUCCCUGAAGACACUUCAACUUGAAAGGUUGCCUCAUUUGAUAGAAUGGGGAAAGAGGGACGUAGCAACAGAGCAAGCUCUUUCAUUUCCUUGUUUUUCCAAACUAAAGAUCAAAGUUUGCUGGCUGGCCCUAAAUUGAUGUCCUUGGCAUUGCCUUCAUCUCCUUCUAGUCUUUCUAUUCUAGAUAUCAAAGAAUGCAAUAACUUGGCAUCCUUGGCACUACCAUCAUCUGCUUUUCUUUAUGAUUUCUCAAUUAGACAUCAGUUCUUGCAAUAACUUGACAUCAUCGACACUUUCUUCAUUUCCUUGUCUUUCUCAAUUACAUAUCAAUUUUUGCCAGAACUUGAAAUCAUUACCAUUGUCUUUGUUCCUUGUAUUUCGAAAUUGCACAUCAGAUCUUGCCAUAAAUUUUUGCAAUAAAUUACUGUUUUUUGAGGAUUUGUUUUGAAAAUAAAUUACUUUUUGCAAUAAAUUUGAGGUGUUUUUGAAAAAUAAUAGUUUUUAAAUUUUUUUAAAACAUUGAGGUAUAAAAAAAAAAUUAUUAAUUACCUUAAAUUUAAAUUUUUUUAAAAGUGACUUAUUUUUAUUUCUAUUUUUUCUUCAGGAUUUGUAAGCCAUCUCUUAUUUGAUCAGGGACUUGUGGAGCUGUUGUCGUUACCUGUAAAAGCUUGUGCAUGAUGGACAAUGAUAUAGUACCAAACAGGAAAGGAUUUGGUGGAGCUUCCCUUUAAAGUAUGUGCAUGAUGAUGAAUUAUGAUCAUUUGAGGGAUUCACGAUUUUUAGAAAGAAAAAAGUGAAUUUGAAAAAGAAAAUGUCUGAAUGAAACUGACACCCAGCCUGUAAAGCACAAAGUGUGGUCAGACUAUACGAAUCAAACUUUAGCAACAUUGCCAAUGUAUUGGUCUCAGCAACACCAAUUUAAAAAUCCCCAUUAAACUCGGUAGCUCAGUGUUUACAGAUUUUGUGUUCAUGGCUGGCUCUCUUGAGAAUGCCAUGGUGCUGUCAUCAACAACCGAUGAAGAUGAGAAACAGAGGGAAAGUAGAAGCAAAAGAGAGAUCAUUUCCACCCUCCCAACUGAAAAAGGCUGGAAAAUUCAGGGUCUUAUGUACCAGUACCAAGGCUUUUGGUACUAUUCUGGGGGUGCUGUAGAAGGAGUCAUGUGGAUGCAAAAAUGCUUCAAGGCAAGGAAUGAAGAUGUUCUCUUGGUCUCCUUUCCAAGAUGUGGAACAACAUGGUUGAAAUCUCUCAUGUUUUCUAUCAUGAAUCGAACCAGGUAUGAUUUCUCAGCACACCCUUUGCUGACUUCUAGCCCUCAUGAACUUGUUCCCUUCCUGGAAUUCUACGCAGAGCAGAACAUCCCCUUCCCAGACCUGGACACACUUUCCUCUCCUCAGCUCUACCAUACUCACAUUGCCCUCACUUCAUUACCCCAACCUGUCAUAGACUCUCAGUGUCGAGUUGUCUAUAUCUGUCGCAACCCCAAAGAUGUGUUUGUUUCUAUUUUUUGUUCUCUCGAGAUGGAAUAUAGUGGUUCCCCUUGAAGAGGCAUUUGAGUUGUUCUGCAAAGGAAUUAGCUUCUAUGGACCCUUCUGGGACCAUGUUUUAGGGUAUUGGAAGGAUAGUUUAGCUUCACCCCAGAGAAUAUUGUUUAUGAAAUAUGAAGAUGUGAAGAGGGAUUCCUUGUGUCAGGUCAAGAGGUUGGCAGAGUUCAUGGGCUUUCCCUUCUCUUCCGAGGAAGAGGGACAAGGUUUGAUACAUGAAAUUAUGGAGCUGUGUAGUUUUGAGAAUCUAAGAAAUUUGAAGGUAAACAAGACCGGAGCAAUAUCUGUGGGCAAUGUCAGCACUGGAAAGGAUACUUUCUUCAGGAAAGGUGAGGUUGGUGAUUGGAAGAAUCAUCUGACAGCUGAAAUGGCCGAUCGCACUGACAGGAUCAUGGAGGAAAAGUUGAAAGGUUCUGGUCUGACGUUCAGCGACUCCUGUGAUAGCUGAUUAUUAGUGCUGGAGGUGAACUUCAUAUGAUUUGUAUUAAGUUAAUUUAUUAACUAUCUAAUUGUCUUCUGUUAAGCGUGCUUGUAACAAAUGGAAUGAUGGUGUUAAGUUAAUUUGUAUUAAGUUAUAAGGCUUUCUUAAUUUAUAUAUAAAUUCAAUACUUGGCUAAGAAAUCAAUUCCACCAAAUAUACACAUGGACCAAUUAAAUUGGUCUCCUGAAUAUAACUAACUCAUCCUUGUCAAGAAAUUCCCGAACCUUAAAAGGGCAACAUGUGUUUCAUGAGAUUGUUCAAUUUCUCCCCUUUUUUUUAUUUCAAUCUACCUAAACAAGCUCAAUUACAAUUAAUUUUAUCAUAUUUUAAAAAAUUUGUGUAACACGGGUCUCAUGAGCUUGUUCCCUUCUUGGAAUUCUACUUACAUCAGAACAUCCCUUUCCCAAAAUUGGACACACUUUCCCCUCCGCAUCUCUUCCAUACUCACUUUCCUUUUACUUCCUUACCUCAACCUGUCAUAGACUCUCAGUGUCGAAUUGUCUACAUCUGUCGCAAUCCCUUUCCAUUGAAGAGGAAUUUGAGCAGUUCUGUAAAGGGGUAUGUGUCUGUGGACCCUUCCGGGAUCAUAUUUUAGGGUAUUGGAAGGCAAGUUUGGAUUCGCCCAAGAGUGUUGUUCAUGAAAUAUGAAGAUCUGAAGAGGGAUUCCUCAUUUCAUGUCAAGGAGUUGGCAGAGUUCAUAGGCUGCCCCUUCUCCCCGGAGGAAGAAACCCAAGGUUUGGUACAUGAAAUUAUAAAGCUGUGUAGCUUUGAGAAUCUAAGCAAUUUGAAGGCAAACAAGAUAGGAGCAUUAUCCGUGGGGGAUGUUAGAUUUAGAAAGGAUACUUUCUUCAGGAAAGGUGAGAUUGGAGAUUGGAAGAAUCAUUUGACAGCUGAGAUGGCUGACCGUCUUGACAGGAUCAUUGAGGAAAAGUUUAAAGGGUCUGGUUUGACAUUCAGUGAUUCCUGAUCUGCAGAUGAUCAAUUGUUGCAAAUGUAACCAUAUUAAUGGUGUCAUGGAGGUGUAUCAAUUAUGGUUUGUAUUAAUAAAUUUGAAAUGUUUUCUUAGACUGCCUCUUGCAAUUUUAAUGUUUUUAUAGUGUAGUUAGUACUUGGUAUAGCUGUGAACCUACCAAUCAUUAGUUACACUACUGAUGGCUUAAGAUUACUUUUAAAUUAAAAUCAUGUUUAAUAACUUAAAUUAAGUCAUUAAUUAUUAAGUCAAAUUAAGUCAUUAAAUUGAUUUAUCAAAUAUCUGGUCAUCCCUUUCCUGGUAAGAGCCAUAGUAAGAUUACGAAGUUGUCUCAUUUUUCCCUUUUAUUCCUCAAUUUACUCAAAACAAAUUUAACUACAUCUGGUUUGAUCUCAAACCAUUCUCCAAAUCAAGGUCUUCGAACGAUCUCAUAUAUACGUAUGCUAGAUAGAGGGGUGAACAAAGCCCUUUAAUAAAGAGUUACUUGAUUAAAAUUGAUGAGAAAAUCCAAAUUUGCACUCUGUUCUUUCUUACUCUCCAUGUGAACUUCCAACUCCAUGUUCCUACAGCUUCUUCUGUUUCUAACAUAAAUAAAUCAUAUAGCACCAUUGAGAUGACUCAACAGCUUUGUACAAGAAAGCAUUUAAUAUUUUAAUAUAUAUAUAUAUAUUCAAAACUUAAAAAUAAAUUUAAAUAUUUUUUUAUUCAUGAUAAUAAAUAUCAAAAUAAUAUAGAUAAAACAACUAAUAAUUUUGAAAUUAAUAAAAUAUAUAGCUACUAAAAUCUAAUUUUAAAUAAUAGAAUCUUAUGUUAUAAGAAUAAUUAUAAGUUAAGCAUAUUUAAUAAAAUUAGAAAUGCUAAAAUUUUAAUAAAUCUUCAUGGCACCCUUAUCAUAAUUUAAUCUAUCAAUAUUAAUGAUAAAAAGAUGAAAUUUGUUUAAAUUUUUUAAUUUUUUAGGUUUUAACUUUUAAUAAUUUAUAAAUUAUAUAUUUGUGGCAUCACUAGUUUGACUACGGUUCAAUCAUCUGUCCAACCAUUGAACUGUGUAUCAAUAACUUUUCUAAUUCAACGAUUGAUCAAAUUCUAAAAACAUUUUAAUAAGUAAAACUAUAUUUUAGAAAUAGUUUUAUUAAAAAUAAUAAUAAUUAUGAAAUUAAAUUUUAGAACAAAUAGGGAUCUGAAUUGCACUCAAUUAUUAGGUGUGACCUUUGUUCCUCACAUGGGUAAAAAUUGGUUGUAUCUCCUUAAACUAUUGGAUGGGGGUAGUGUAGAAUGAUUUCUAAAACCAACAUUUUUUUAUUAGAUCUUUUUAGUAAAGUGAUGUGUUUUAUAAUUAUGUCUAGAUAAAUACACGUAUGCUGCACAACUAGCUUGACUCUUGGAUUUUGCCAUGUAAUUGAUGCAUGCCUUGAUUUGGUCAAGGGUUACGCAUUUGGAACAUGGAUGGGGCUUUAAUCAGUCCUAUUGGCAAGCAUUGUGGACACUAGAUAAAUUGCUUUAUGGCUUGGUUUCAUUAAGAUAGACCUUAAUGUCGAUAUAGGAAUUAGAGAGUUUCUUGUCUAGAAUUAAAGAGUUUCACUAUUCAAGAUGAUAAUUUGCAUUAAUAAAGAAAUUUGCAUUAAUCAGGCUUGGGAGCUUUAUCCUCACAAAAACCUUUAAGCGCCUCCAGCACCUCCUGCUUCGAAAACGGCUCCUCCAAACUGGCUGCAUCCACAGUCUCCAAUCUCUCAAAAGGCAAUCCCCUUAAAUUGGGUCUCCAACCUCCAGCAAAAGACAACAUAGAUUUAAACUUAGUCACCACCCCAUCUCUAAGCUCAUUCUCCUCUGUUAACCAAACUCCAUUUAUUUUGACAUGGGAUAACAUGUUCUGCCUCCUGUGAGUGUUAGCCAUCCUAUGGAAGAACUUAGUAUUCCUGUCCUCCUCUCUCAACUAGACUUCCCUGGAUUUUUGUCUCUAAGAUAUCUCUUCCAGCAAAGCCCACUUCUUAAAAUCCUCUUUAGCUCAUCUCCUUGCGUCCACCUCCUGAACAGAGAGAGGCCAAGAUAACUCCAUUUUGUCCCAGAAAUCCACCUGACUCAAAGCCAAAGUCUUAUUGACCUCCACUUUCCCAAACUCCAGCUUAUUCCAAUAUCUCAACAGAGGCUUCAAAGCUUUAAAUUUAGAAGCUAACACAUAGCUUGCAGAUCCACUAAAAUUGAGCCCCACUCACCACCCCUGCAUUUUUUCUUUGAACCCCUCUUCCUUCAACCACAUAUUCUCAAACCUGAACGGCAUCGGACCACUCCUUACUCCUCCCCCGUCUAGAAGAAUUGGAAAAUGAUCUGAAGUCGGCUUAGGAAGGACAUACUGCAUAAACCCAGAGAAAUGAUCCUCCCAUUCAUUUGAAAUCAGAAACCGAUUGAGCCUUGAAUGGGAUUGAUUGUUCAAUCCUCCCUUCUAGGUGAAGGAGCCUCCUUGCAAAGGCAGGUCCCUCAACUCUAAAUCCUCCAUAAUAUCCAAAAAUCUCCUCAUUGAAGCAGAUAAUCUGCCUCCCCUACUGCUCUUUAUAGGGAAUCUCACAACAUUGAAAUCCCCUGCCACACACCAAGGAUCACUCCAUAGACCCCUUACCGCUCCUAAUUCCGCCCAAAAAUCUUCCCUCUCUUUCAUCAACGAAGGCCCAUAAACUCCAAAGAAUAACCAACAAAAGUCGUCCUCACAAUUUUUGAAUCUGCAAGACACUGAAAAGUUCCCCACUUCCGCUUCCAAUAAUUGCAGCACCUUUUUAUCCCAUAACACCAGCACACCACUAGAAGCUCCCCUCGAAUUUAACACCUUCCAAUCCAGACAUCUUCCCACUCCGAGGCUUCUAACUAUCAUCUUUGACAUUUCCUGCAUCUUGGUCUCUUGUAAACACACUACAUCCACCUUUUGACCCUUGAUCAACGCCUUAAUCACCUUUCUUUUCUCACUAUCAUUAGCUUCUCUAAUAUUCCACGACAAAACUCUUAAUUUCAUAACAUCCACCUUAAUAACCCUCUCUCUCCUCUCUGGACCAAUAAACCUAAACUUCAGUUAGCAAUCUGAAGCAACCCCGCACUCUUUCUAGUCCCACAAUAAUUCACUGAACACUCCAAUUUUUUCAAUUCUCUCUCUGACUUGGAGACCUUUUGAACUUUUUUUUUCCGCCACAACACCCUUAAUAUUCUUUUGCUCUUCCAUUCCUCUUAAUAAUAAUAAUAAAACUUCCCCUUCAAAACCCUCCGUAGGCAUACCCAGACACUUACAAAGAUUUAUAAAAUCUCCAUUCAUCCACGAGCCCAACACACUUCUAUUAUCUUCCUCCGAAACUCUUCCCAUAACUUCUAUCGACAUUUCUCCCCCCUUACUCUCCUUAAUAUUCUUCUCCAUGCCGAAAGAAAUUUCCCUCUCCCUUCCACCAGCCUCAAUGAUUCUCAACGGGUCAGCCAUCCCUUCUUCGUUCACCAAAUAUGGCCCCUCGAGUGCCACCAAGUCCCGAAUAGCCAUAAAAUCCUCAUUUUUUUCCCUACAGAAAGAAAAAGAAGAAGAGGAAAGAUGUCCCCGAUCCCCGAAACUAAGAAGAGAACAGUUUUCGGGAAGUGAGUACCUGGAAACCUCCUCCAAGAGGGCCUCAUCUGCUCUAAUCUUUCCUCCUGCUUCAGCCCACAACGCAGCGCAGACAAUGGCCUCGACUAGCCUCGACUCCUCGCACGAAGACUGAAUCGUCGGAGCCCUAACUUUCAUAAAGCAAUCAUUGUGACCCAUCUGGGCUAUACCUUGGCCCAAUCCCCUGAGCCCACAUUCCUUUGAAAGACCCAAAGAAGGUUAACAACCCUUUUUACUAAGGCCCACUCCAAAACCCUCCUGGGCCACAGGCUUCUCCGGACCUAUAAACUGUCCACAGCCCCUUUGGGCUCCCCCCUUCUUCAAACUUCCCCCCUUACUUGACUCAACCCAAUAUUCCUUAGGCCCACUACCUUUACCCCUUAAGCCCAUUCCCUCUGAUGCAAAACCCACUUCUUCAGCUGCUCUCUUUCCCUUUCCAUCAAAGUCCUCACCUGCUUCAGUACCCCCCGCCAUAUCCCGACCAUACUCCAAAGUAUCAGCUCCUACCUGCUCUUCACUGCCUACCUCACUUGCUGCCAUGGUUCCUUGUACUCACGAUGGCCCCACACUGCUUCCCACGUGUGAAGCCAAGCAUCCUUCGUCUCUGCCUUGCGACUUCUCCCUUCCUUGCGCCGACACUGUUACCGACACCCAUGGCGACACCUCCCACCAAAGCUGAAUAGCGAAACACAAAGAGCCCACCACCAAAUAUAACACCCUAGGUAAAUCCUUUCCAUCCGAUUUCACUUAAAACCUUGCCCACUGGAGCUGAGAGAAGUUAGUUGUAUCCUCGUCCACAGCCACCAGCCCUCCACAGCUGUUCCCCAAUUUUCUGAACACUUCAUAGUUCCAGAAAUUGAGAGGGAGCCCCACCGCCCUCACCCAACAAAGGUUUGUAUGAACUCCAUGACGAAAACAACCUGCUUCCGGACCUCAUCUUUCUAACUGAAAAAGUUUGUCCUGAACACGUCGGUUUCCUCUUUGCAACACUCUUUCUGCUUCUUCUGCUAUCUCAAAUUUUGCAAGAAAAGAAGUGCCUCUCAAAUAUGAAAACCUCACUCUCUUUUUCAAGUUCCAUAAACGCCUUCCCCAUAACCUUAAACAAUCUAGAUUUGGACAUUGAUCAACCUCUGUUUCCCACCUUCCCACAAGACAACGCCCUAAUUGCUCAUCUCUUCCUUUUAAUGUUCUGCUCCCUAGCUGAAUCCACAUUGCGUCCCCUAUUCUUCCCGCCUUUACCUUUGCUACUUCAACAAAUGAACGCGUAUACUCCUCCCCCUUCUCCGUGUCUUCGUCUCUUCUUCCUUCCUUUGCUCCUACCCAACCUACACCCACCUUUAUUUUCAGCUAGCAGAUGAAUACCUAAAGAACAAAGCUUUUCAGCUAGCAAAACCCAUCCCCCAAUUAACCCUCUGCCUUCCGGAAACACCAAACUAAACCUUUUCGCUUCCAUAUCACGAACAGAACAGAUAAUGUACCUCCCCGCCUCAUUAGCACGCAAUUCUAAUAUGAAUUUCCUCAUCUCCUCUACCCAAGUUUUGAUAACUUUCCUGAACUUCUCCUCCUUGCAACAAGCCUCUACUCCCCCAAGCAAACUCCUUAACCCAUAAUCUCCGAACCUAAUCCAAUUGGAGAAGCCUUUACUUCUCUCCAUUAUGAUCCCACGAAGCUUCCCCCCUGAAGAGUAAAUCAAAAUCUCAAAGGAUUUUGAUUCCACCACAAAACAACAUCUACCCCCUCCAGCACCUCUAGCACCUCCAACACUUACUCUCUCCAUCAUAACAUAGGUAGUUAAAUAUUAAACAUCAAGACAUAUUCAAGCCAGUUCCUACUGAUGCAUCUCCAAGUAAUUUCUACUGCUUCUUUAAGUGCUUUUUCAACCUUAAUUCAAUCUCCUUAACUGUUUUACAGGUAGAGUCAUACUCCUUAUCAACUCCUUCAUGAGGUAUUAUAAAAAAAUUUAUCUACCUUCAAAAUUUUCAUAAAUUCUUAAUAUAGAACUUGCAAAGAAUCUUUCAUGACUAAACUCUUAGGACUCUUUAUGGGGAUUCAAAUCUCGAGGUGCGGACCACCUCGCAGUGACCAAUAUUGGGUAAAUUCAAGGUAUUAUCAAUGGUAUGAUUCAAAUUUAGGAUUAUAUGUCAUUUAUUGAGACUAUACUUCUCAGUAUUCAUUCUAACUAAUUAGGUUAGCCUGAUAUGUGAUAUAUUAAUUAUGUAUUAAUUAUAUGUUAUUAUUGAUAUAUAAUUGGUAUAUAUGAAAAUAAUUAACUCGCUUGCAUCAAAUUGCUAACCUAUGCUCUCUUUAGGUUUUGCAGAUCGUUAUGAUGUGCCUUUAUUUUUUUUUUUUAAUAUUAUCUAAGUUGUUAUAAAAACACGCAUUUGAAUUGAUUUAUGAUAGUGUUAAGAGUAAAAAGAAAAUUAAGACAUUAUCAUACUUAUUUUAAUACCAAAUGCAAAUCUUUAAUAAUUGGUAUGUCUUGAAAACAAAAAUUAAAAAUGAUAAAAUGUGAUAAUUUUAAAAUAAUUAAAUUGUUGAGUUUCUUAUUCCCAAUCAUGUGUUAACACAACUUUUCUUGAUUGAUGAAGAGAAUUUUUAAAAUAUGUAAAGAUUAUUUAUUCUUUCUUCCAUUAUUAUUAAAUUGGAAUCAUGGUGUUGCAACUUCGAAUUGUCUCAUGAGUUGGUGAAGUCAAAUGAUUCGUACUUGAUUUCAACUUGGGUUACUAUUAAACUCUACGAUACCAACAUUACUAACUCUCGUAUUAAACUUGUUGUACCCCAUGGUUAAGAUGGACAUGAGUCGAUUUAUAUGCAUCAGUAUUUGUUGAAACUUUGAACUAUGUGACAACAUGUUAUAGUGUAUUUUUAUGUCUAGAUAUCCAAAAUGUUGACAUUAGUUAUCUUCACGAUUACUUUUACUACUCCAUGACUUCUACUAUUAUUCGACAUUUUUUUAUCUUAAUUAUUGUUUAUAAAGAUAAAUAUGUCAAUUUAUUAAUUUAAAAUCAAUUUUAAGUUAAAUGUAUUAAACAAUCUUUAUAUUUAAAGUAAAAAUUAAGUAAUAAAUUUUAAGUCAAUAAUUUAAAUAUAAUUUAACUUAAAGUUAACUUAAAUCAUUAAAUAAUAAAUAUUAAAUUUUUACCGAACACCUUUUCAUGUAAUAUUUGUUUGUUUUUUUUUACUUGAUUUUACUUAUUUUAUUUUCACCCUUAUUUUCAUUUUUUUUAUUUUGACUUUUGAUAAUGUCUUAUUUUGAUUUCAUUUUUUUUCAUUUGCAUUUAUUUUUUAUCUAUAUUUUAGCUUUCGUUUUAAACAUUCAUUUUCUCUAUUUUUAGUCUUUUAUUUUCAAACCCAUUUCUUUUAUUAUUAUUAUUGUUGUUGUUGUUGUUCAUUUUGCUAGUGCUAAAAGGUGAAAAUAAUUUUAGUGAUUAAUGUGAAUUUGAGAUCAUUUGCUAUGUUUGGUCACAGGAAAGUUUGAGGGAAAAUGUGAGAAAAAUAAAAUAGAAAGGAAAAGUAGAAGAAAAGAAAACGUGAAAGAAAAUAAAAAGUAGAUUGAAAGUUAAUAAAUCAUAUUCAUUUUAUACUUCAAACUCAUUUCACUUAUUUAACUAUUUUACAUAAAGAUUAAGUAAUUUAAAAAUAUGUAAGUUUUUCACUAAUUUUAAUUAUAUUCAACUUUUAAAUAUUUUUUUUAAUAAAACUAAACACGAGAAAAUAAUUUUCUUUAGCAUAUUUUUUAGUAUUUUUGGGAACCAAAUAUAGCCUUAAAAUUAGAAAGAAAAAAAAUAAACUAAAAAAAGAGAGUGAAUGAAGUUAAGAAGAGAAGGAGGUUGCAUGUGGCCUUAUUUGAUAACUGUUUAAACAGUUCUAAAAAAUAUAAUUGAAAAAUAAUUUUUUAGAAUAGUUUUUGAAAACUAUUAUUUGAUAUUUUAUAAAAUAAAAAUUUGUCUUUGAACUUAAAAUUUUUUUGACUUAUUUUUAAUAUUUUUAAAUAUAUUUUAAAAAUAAUUUUUACAUCUAGAUCUUUAUUUUUAAUCAUAAUACAUAUUUGUACAAUUAUUUUUUAAAAUAAUUUUAAAAAAACAAGUAAAAAAAAUUAAAAAAAUUCUCUAAAAAUGUUAUAUUUUUUAUUUUUGAUAACAAAAAAAAAAAAUUCUAAUUACUAAAUAUUUUUUAGUUUUUUUUUUAAAACAGUUGUCAAACAUUCACAUAACUUUGACUAUUCCCUUUUUGUUCAACAAGAGUGGCAGAAUUUCAGGGAUGGAAUGGAGAGCAAUUAUUUAUUUAUUUAUUUUUAAAAAAGGAUUGAAAGCAAGGAAAAGACUAAAGGCUUUGAAAAGUAAAAGAAAAUACAGAGGAAAGGUGGCAAAAAUUGGGUAUGAGAGGGCACAAAUGGUAAAUAAGGUCAUUGUCCCAUUGUACAUCUUUAUUUUAUAAUGAUAAUGAGAAGGUGAUAGACUCGCAUAUACCCAAAUAAAUCCAUAUAUGCACAUCUUUAUUCUAUAUUCUCUCUGAUCUAAAAUAAUAUCAUGUCACAUCCAAGUGUGAACACUCAUAAAAGUAAGAAUGGUCGUGCCAACUAGCAUUCACAUGGGUCUCUCUUUUUCUAGCCCUUUGAACAUUUUCUUUAAUGUAUCCAUCCUUGAUUCUCUCUUUAGGACCUUUGGACUUUUCUAAAGUGAUCCCCUAUGAUUUAUGCUAUGAAAAGACUAUUUUUACUUUUAUGGGUACUCACAUAAAUUUAUUGAAAAAAUAGGAAAAAGAUGUACAUUUAUAAUAUAAAUCAUGGUGAGACCAAUUCUUCUAGUUUAACUCUCCUAGUUAAGAUUUCGUUUCAAAGUAAUUUUGACUUAAAAAAAUGUUUUGAAAAAAAUGAGAUAUUUUGACAAAUUUUAGAAAACUUGGAAAAUUACUUAUAAUAUUUUAUGGAGAAAUACUAUUCUUUUAAAAAUACUUUUAGACAAAAUAUUUUUUUUAAAAAAUAUUAUAAAUAGAAAUACUGUUAAAUGUACUUGAAUAAUGCGUUUAACAGUAAUUUUAGAAAAUGUUUCUAAUUUUUUUAACACUUAAAUUAUAUAUAUAUUUUGUAAUAACUUUAUAUUUUGAUUUGUCAUUUUGAUUCUUUGAUAUUUGAAUAAUGUCAUAGUUAUGUGAUUUGUGCAAUUUUGUGAUUUAAACUUGAUUACAUUGCAUAUUUCUACAUGUUCAAUGUCCAUUAAUAUUGUAUCUAAAUUUAUAUUUUAAUUUAUUUAGGGUUUAUUUGAAAUGAAAUAUGGCUUAAAUUUUGAUAAAUGAUGGGAAAAUGAGAUGGUGGUAAGCUAUAUUGAUUUUGUUUUAUUUCUGAAUUGUUGUGUUUGUGUUGUAUGUGGUUGUUGGGAAGAAUACGGAAAAGAGAAGAAAAAUAUGAGUAUUGCAUGUGAAGGGAAUACAAUUUUUAGGAAUGUUCAAACAAUUUGUUGUUUAAUGUUGUUUAUAUGGGAUUCGAGAUGUUUUGUUGUUUAAUGUUGUUUAUCUGGGAUUCCAAAAUGAGUAAUUUGAGUGAUUUUUAUAGUUGUUAAUUGGUGAAUCUAAUGCAUGGGAAAAGAAUUCAUGUUUAGUCAUGAGUAGAUGAGUAUAAAUUUUAAAAAUGAUUGGGAUAAAAGUUUGAAUAAAUUUUUUAAUAAAAGUUUUGAAUUUGUAAUGAAUAAGGAUUGAAUUGAAGAAGAAAAUAAAACAAAUUUAGUAAAGUGGGCAUGAAUUUAUGUGGGAAUUAGGGAAAAUAGUAUUGGAGCCUUAGGUUCAAAAUUGAUGGUCACAACCACAAAUAUGAAAUUUGUUUUGUUUAUGUGUGUAGUGGUCAUAGUAAGGGUCUACCCUUAGAUGAAGGGGUUGGCCGUAAUUCAGUUAAUGACAUUUGGAUGAAAUUAUUGUUUUCGUAAGAGGUUGCAGUAAGUGAAUUAAAGGCUGACCCAUUUGUUUGGAGGUAGGCCCUUAGUUAUAAAUAUUGUUGUGGUUUAAUCUGGAUAGUAGGCAAAAUAAAGGCUGACCCAUUUGUUUGGAGGUCGGCCCUUGGUUGUAAACAUUGUUGUGGUUUAAUUUGGGCAGUGGGCAAAAUAAAGGUUGACCCAUUUUUUUGGAGGUCGGCCCUUGGUUGUAAACAUUAUUGUGGUAUAAGUUGGGCAGUAGGCAAAAUAAGGGUUGGCCCAAUUGUUUGGAGGUCGGCCCUUGGUUGUAACAUUGUUAUGGUUAAAUUUGGGCAGUGGGCAAAAUAAAGGUCGACCCAUUGUUUGAGGGGGUGGCCCGAAGAGAGUGAAAUUAGCACAAUUUGGCUUGAAGAGUUACCAAAACAAUGGUUAGCCUAUGAAUUGAGAGGUUCACUCCCUAAAUUAUAUAACAUAACAAAUUACUACGCAGUAAAAUAGAAUAAUUGCAUUGCUUAAUGUUAAGUAUACACUAUGCAUGUCUAUAUUUACAUCAUUAAUUGUAAACUAUGAAAUGUAAAUGAAGCUCGUUUGUAAAGUUUCAAAGAUAAAUGAUGUAUUAAUAUAUGAUGGUCAUAGGCAUGAUAAUAAGUUUUGUUAUAAGUAAGUUGGUUUAUGCAGUGUUAUUAAGAAAUUAGUUAAUUGUUUUAGCUUGACUAAAGGUUCAUGCUUCUAAACAGGGGCUGCACAUGAUCGAGUAGCAUUUAAAUGGAUCCAAAUAAUACAAUUUAUUGUUAUCUGCACAUUGGAGGAGAGCUAGUAAGGGAUGAACAUGGCAAUGUGGAAUAUAUGGGUGGGAGACGAGAGGGUCUAAGUUUAGAACGAUCAAUGACAUAUAAUGAUUUUGUUUCAAGGAUUUGUGGGAAAAUGAACAUCAAUAUAGUGGGACCAACAUUUUCAUAUACUCUCCCAUUUGAUUUAUAUGCACUUCAACCAUUGAAAAAUGAUGAAGACUUGACAAACAUGUUUCAAUUUAGUGACCGAUGUGCACGUGUAUAUAUAUGUUUAACAUCAACAGUUGAAGACGAUGAAAUGAUUGAGAAUGGAGGACAAGGGUAAGUUAUAUCAAAAAAAUAUGUAAUCUUAAAUGAUUCCAUGUAUUUAUUUAUUUUGUAAUAUUUAUGUUUAUUCAUUAGAUGUUAUAAUGCAGCUUGAACGAAACAAUCGUAGGGUCUAACUCGCCGGUCCCAUAUUCAACAAGAGAUGUUGAUAUUAGAAUGCAAUCACGAGGAUUUCAUCAAAGAUGUGCUAAAUCACAUGUUGGUCCACUAGAGUCAAGCCGUUUUGAGAGUGCAAUAUUGGGUAGUGGGCAUACCUUCUCAACUGCAAAUGAAUUUCGGGAUGCAAUAUAUCUCAUGUCAGUAGGAGGCCGUUUUAGAUAUAAGUUUAAGAGGAAUUGUCUUAAGCAUAUGACUGUAAUAUGUGUUGUUGAAGGAUGCCCUUGGAAAGUAACUGCUCAUGCUGUUGGGAGAACAAAAAUAGUUCAAGUGCAUACAUUUAGAAAUGAACAUAACCACUCUUUAGAAGAUGUGUCAAUUUCCGAACCAGUAGUUCAUUGUAAUCGAGCCACAACUAUGAUUGAUGAUGUUAUUCGUUCAAAUCCAGAUUACUUACCCCGUCAAAUAUGUAAAGACUUUCGUCGACAAUACGGAAUGCAAUUGAAUUAUUGUCAAGCAUGGAACUUGAAAGAGAAGGCUAAAGAACGAAUUCAUGGUGUGCCGCAAUGUUCAUAUAAGUUGUUACCUUGGUUAUGUACAAGGCUUAUUGAAACAAAUCCAGGGACGAUUGCUGAAUAUAGAUGUUCGGAUGAUGGUCAUUUUAUGCAAUUGUUUGUUGCCCUUUCAGUGUCAAUACAUGGGUUUCAACUGGGAUGUCGGCCUAUUAUAUCAAUAGAUUCAUCCCACAUGAGUGGGCCAUACAAGUGUGCUUUAUUUUCAGCUUCUUCCUAUGAUGUUGAUGAUGGCAUGUUUCCACUUGCUUAUGGCUUAUUUAGCUCUAAGAAUUACGAGGAUUGGCUUUGGUUUUUAGAGAAAUUGAAGAUGGUCAUAGGUGAAAGAGAUGUUAUAAUAAUAUCUAAUAGGCACCAAGGGAUUAUCCGUAGUGUUUCAGAGGUAUUUGGUAGUGAAAACCAUGCACAUUGCUAUCGUCGCAUUAAAGAAAACUUUAGUAGCUUUCUAACAAAGCUAAACACUAAAGGGAGGAAAGGAAAGGAAAAUGCUUUGCAAAUGCUUGAUUCUAUCGCCUAUGCUAGGUUAGAUUGUGAUUAUGAGGUUGCAAUGGAUACUUUAAGGACAUUUAAUCAUGAUUUGGUGAAGUGGGUUGAAGAAAAUAACCCUCAACAUUGGGCAAUCUCUAAAUUUAAGAAGAUGCAUUAGGAUAAGAUGACAAGUAAUUUGGCCGAGUCUUUUAAUUCUUGGUUAAGACAUGAACGACACCAUAACAUUUGUGUUUUCUUCAUCGAGCAUAUGGAUAAGUUAGGAUCUCUUUUAGCCGAGCAUAAAAAUGGACUUGUAAAAUGGAAUGGGUGUAUUGGUCCUAAAACAGAAGAAAAGAUUGCAUUGAACAUUGGAAAAGGUGAAAAUUAUAUCACUUAUUUACACUUGGGUAGUUCGAUGAAAGUAUCCAAUGGAAAAGCAUUCCUGGAAGUGGACUUAAUGGAGCGAACUUGCAUAUGUAAAGCAUGGCAAAUGUCUGGAAUCCCAUGUGAUCAUGCUUGUGCAGCUAUACGGCGAAUGGGGUUUGAUGUAUCUGAUUAUGUUGAUGACUGGUAUAAGUACAAUUUGCAAGAGAAGAUAUACUCUGGAAGCAUGCGUACUUUGGUAACGCAUGACAUGCCAAUGAUUGAUGAAGAUGGAACCGUUCGUGAUGCCUUGGGUCAUACUUAUCCCUUUCUUAAUCCUCCAACCACAAAGCGACCUCCUGGAAGACCUAGGAAACGUCGAAUCGAGUCUCAAUUCAUGUAAAAAAAAACAGUUCAUUGUUCUCGUUGUAAUCAGUCUGGGCAUAAUCGUGCGACAUGUAACAACCCAUUGCUGUAAGUUUUUUUUUUAUUAAACUUCAUAAUGUAAGAUCGACUUUAUAUUAGUAUGAAAUAGUUUGGUAAUCUUCGUUGUUGUUUCCUUGAUUAUAAGCAAUGAGUAAUUUAUUGGAUUUGAAGUGUUUGGUGUACAUAUAUUGUGAUUGUAUGUUGUUCUUCAAUAUUAUGGGAUAUGUUACAUGAUAAUGUAAUUGUAAUAGCAAAAUAUGUACCUUGGUCAUUAUUGUUCAAAGAUGGCAUUGAAGUGACAUAGAUUCAUAUGGCGUCCUUGGCAAAAAAACGAGAUUGUUAACUAGUGGGCAUAAUCGUGGCCAACCUUUACAUGUAGGGGCUGCUGCUUUUUGGCUGAUGACCCUUAAGCAUAUUAUUUAGUUUUGUGUGAAAUGGGCAGUAGCCAAAAUAAGGUUGUGCCUGUUAGAUCAUAGGCAACCCUAUCGUUUUUCAUCUUUAAAAUUGGUUUCGUAUUAUGUGAGGUGUCUGUAAAAGGGAGAUUGAACCAUUAACACCAUGGGAAGGCAUUCGAACAUUAGUUUAGUAUGUUAUGUGCAGAAGGCAAUCUAGGGGCGCACCUUCCAUUUGAAAGGCAUGCCUAUGUGUUAAUGAUAUUAUAUAACUAUGCUACAUGCAGAAGGCAAAGCAGGGGUGCACCCUUGGUUGCAUAGGUAUGCCCAUGGGUAUGAUAACUUUAUUGGGAAAUUCUAUAUGCAGUAUGCAAAGUAGGGGCACACCCUUGAUUUUAGGGGCAUGCCUAUUGCUAAAACCAUUAUAUUGGUAAGUUAUGUGUAGUAGUCAACCUAAGAGCAAAACCUUGAUGGAAGACACAUAAAUAUGUGUGAAAAACUUCUUUUUGUUAAGCUACUUGCAGUAGGAAAAAGAAAGACAUGACUCUCUGUCAGAGGCAUGCCUUUAGGAUGACUAGAGUUGAGGUGUGGGUUGGGCAGUAAGGCGAAUGGAGGCAUACUGAUAGCUUAAAGGUUGGCCCUUGAUGUUCAUAUGAAAUAAACGUUGGAAAUGAUUCCUUGUUGAUUCAAAAUCAUAGAUUUUUUCUAAAAAUUUAAUUAUUCAAUUUUUAAUUUAUUUUUUAUUAUCUUAAUUUUUAACUACUUUUUUUAUUUAGCUCAUUAAUAAUUUUUUUUAUUUAUCCGUUUACUUUUAUUUAAUUUCAAAAUUUUGUAUUUUUAAAUAUCACAAAAAUAGUUGUGCUGAGAAUAUGUUACAAUAUAACAAAAAAUAUAAUGAAGUCCUAAUAUUUUAUAACUAAAAAUUAAUUUGAUUAGAUAAAUGAUUAAUAAUUUUAAUUAUUUAAAUAAAUUAAUUUUAAUAGAAAAAUUGCCACCACAUAUUUGUAAUAAAUUUUUAGAAAUCAUAUCUCAAAUCAAAUAUUUGAUAUAAAUCAAUUUAGUUUUUAUUUAAAAUUUAAUAAAAUAUGUUUUAAUAAAAGUAUUUUUUAAUUUUAAAAUAAAUAACAUAAAUAUAUUAAAUGUAAUUAUGACCCAUCCAUGCUCAGAUGGGGGUCCUGGAAUCACUAGACUUGGAUGUACCAAAUUUAAUGAAGGAUGUACCAAAUUUUGUUAAAGAUGUACCAAGGGCUCCAAAGUGUGAUCCGAAGUGGGGAUCGACUCCAAAUCACUUUGUUAUGGGUUUCUAAAUAAAAUAGUGGCUCAUCCAUGGUCAGAAGGGGGUCCCGGAAUCACUAGGCUCGGAUGUACCAAAUUUAAUGAAGGAUGUACCAAAUUUUGUGAAGGAUGUACCAAGGGUCCAAAAAUGCAUUCCGUAGUGGGGAUCGACCCCCGAUCACUUUGUUAUGGGUUUCUUAAAGAAAUUACAGACCAUCCACGUUGAAAUGGGAGUCUCGGAAUCUGUCGGAUCGGAUGUACCAAAUUUAAUGAAGGAUGUACCAAAUUUUGUGAAGGAUGUACCAAAUUUUGUGAAUGAUGUACCAAGGGUCCAAAAAUGCUUUCCGAAGUGGGGAUCGGCCCCAAAUCACUUUUUUUUGGGUUUUUAAAUGAAAUAGUGGCUCAUCCACGGUCAGAAGAGGGUCCCAGAAUCAUUAGGAUCGGAUGUACCAAAUUUUGUGAAGGAUGUACCAAGGGUCCGAAAAUGCGUUCCGAAGUGGGGAUCGACCCCCAAUCACUUUGUUAUGGGUUUCUAAAUGAAAUUAUGGACCAUCCAUGUUGAAAUGGGGGUCUCGGAAUCUGUCGGAUCGGAUGUACCAAAUUUAAUGAAGGAUGUACCAAAUUUUGUGAAGGAUGUACCAAAUUUUGUAAUGAGUACCAAAUUGAUGUACCAAGGGUCCAAAAAUGCUUUCCGAAGUGGGGAUCGGCCCCAAAUCACUUUGUUAUGGGUUUUUAAAUGAAAUAGUGGCUCAUCCACGGUCAGAAGAGGGUCCCGGAAUCACUAGGAUCGGAUGUACCAAAUUUUGUGAAGGAUGUACCAAGGGUCCGAAAAUGCGUUCCGAAGUGGGGAUCGACCCCCAAUCACUUUGUUAUGGGUUUCUUAAAGAAAUUACAGACAUCCAUGUUGAAAUGGGGGUCUCGGAAUCUGUCGGAUCGGAUGUACCAAAUUUAAUGAAGGAUGUACCAAAUUUUGUGAAGGAUGUACCAAAUUUUGUGAAUGAUGUACCAAGGGUCCAAAAAUGCUUUCCGAAGCGGGGAUCGGCCCCAAAUCACUUUGUUAUGGGUUUUUAAAUGAAAUAGUGGCUCAUCCACGAUCAGAAGAGGGUCUCGGAAUCACUAGGAUCGGAUGUACCAAAUUUUGUGAAGGAUGUACCAAGGGUCCAAAAAUGCGUUCUGAAGUGGGGAUCGACCCCCAAUCACUUUGUUAUGGGUUUCUUAAAGAAAUUACAGACCAUCCAUGUUGAAAUGGGGGUCUCGGAAUCUGUCGGAUCGGAUGUACCAAAUUUAAUGAAGGAUGUACCAAAUUUUGUGAAUGAUGUAGCAAGGGUCCAAAAAUGCUUUCUGAAGUGGGGAUCGGCCCUAAAUCACUUUGUUAUGGGUUUUUAAAUUAAAUAGUGGCUCAUCCAUGGUCAGAAGAGGGUCCCGGAAUCACUAGGAUCGGAUGUACCAAAUUUUGUGAAGGAUGUACCAAGGGUCCGAAAAUGCGUUCCGAAGUGGGGAUCGACCCCCAAUCACUUUGUUAUGGGUUUCUAAAUGAAAUUAUGGACCAUCCAUGUGGAAAUGGGGGUCUCGGAAUCUGUCGGAUCGGAUGUACCAAAUUUAAUGAAGGAUGUACCAAAUUUUGUGAAGGAUGUACCAAAUUUUGUGAAUGAUGUACUAAGAGUCCAAAAAUGCUUUUCGAAGUGGGGAUCGGCCCCAAAUCACUUUGUUAUGGGGUUUUAAAUGAAAUAGUGGCUCAUCCACGGUCAGAAGAGGGUCCCGGAAUCACUAGGAUCGGAUGUACCAAAUUUUGUGCAUAUUGUGUGGCCUAGGGUGAAGGGGAUCCUCGUUUGAAAAGAACACACCAUCUUCUACGUUGGGUCUUUCUGACACCCCUUCAUUUGUACAUCCAACGUCAUCUUCAAAAGAUCUUCUUUGACCACCAGAAUGAACAGGUGAAUGUUGUGGAUUAUUUGUAUAAAAUGGUGCACCACUUUCAUUAACAUGUUCAUGAAAAUUUGACGGUUGGCCUUCAUCUGUGCGAUAGUGUGAAGAGGUGAAACGAGUCCUCAACACUUUCACGUCACGGUUGUAUGAUGCAAUAAGACUAUUAAGAUGACUUUGUGCAUCGGUGAUUUGACGUUGUGUUGCCUCCAUGCGAGCACAAAUAACCUAAGUCAAACAUAAUGAAGGAACAUUAAAUGACAUAUAUUUAAACUAAGCCUUAAUAUAAGUUACUAUUCAUAGUCAUUAGGUAUGAAGGAUUACAUCAAAGUCUUCAUUCUCAUCUGGGUCAACUGGGUCAUCAACUGCAGGAGCCUUAUUUUUUUCUGUUUCAUCUUGCUCCGCCGAUGUGCUAACCAACUAUCAUUGCAAAACAUGUAAAUUGUCAUCCCAAUAAUCUAAUUACAAUGGUAAUCAACUAUCUUAAUAUAACUAAAAGCUAAUUAUACCUCAACUUUGCCAAAUCCUCCAAGCAUUUCUAACUCCAACUUGAUGCAUUGCUUGACCAAAAAAUCAUUCCAUGCAGCAAUGCGAGGAGUGGUAAGUUCCACAUACAUGGCUGGAAAAUUAGAUAUUGAAAAGUAGAAUAUCUGAUGCAUUAUAUAAGACAUAAUUAGUGGUAACAUCAUGGCCAACAUAGUGUAUAACCAUUAUUGAAUAUCUAAUACAUGGACAUAUACUUAUAAAUAAGACAAAAAGUUACCUGUAGAAACAUCAAACACCCUUUAAUCCAAACACUUUCUUUCCUCCUAUGUUCAUGUAUAGCUUGAAUAAAAAAUUCUAAGACAUAUUCUCCCCAAUUUAUGUUCCCAAGUAACUGCUCUCGGGGUGUAUACCAUAACGAGUGACUACCUUCCAAACGAGAAGUGGGUGCCAAUAAGGUUGCACAAGCGAAAAUCAAGAAGACCCGUUUAAAUUCCUCCAUAUCAUCGAUGCCAACCAUCAUUGACUCUAUAUCUUGCAAACUCGGCAUUUGACUAGCUUUAACACUUCCCUUCUCAACAAUUAACUUUCUUCCACUAUGUGGAAUGCCCAUCGUCAUCCCAACAUCAUGACAUGUCAAAGAAACCUUCUUACCCACAAAUAACUCGAGUUGGGAAUAAGCAAGGUUUGUGUUUUUUAUCAACCAAAAACAUAAAUCUAAAUUAACCUCCUUACAACCUAAUUGCAAUAGCCCACCAAAACCAAGUUCUCAUAUUACAUCCUUCUUCACUUCUGAGAGCAAAUGGAUUCCAGAGAGGAAUCUACGGCCAGAACAACAACACCGUAUGUUCAUAUUAUCAUUGCAUUAAACAACCAUAAUUCAUUAAUAAAUUAAUAAAAUGUUAAAGACAUGUGAACGUGAAUAUAGUGUUCCUAUAUACAUUCAUCAUAAUUAUUACACAAAUAUAACAUAUAUUAACAAAGAAAUGGGAAACAUUUUGUUACAUCAUGUAAAUGAUAAUCAUUGAGAUCGGUUUCCUCUAGCCUUUCAAUAAUAUGGUUAUCAAUAAGGGUGAAAUUUUUAUAUAUAGGGUCACCCACUAUGAUACCCACUGCAAAAAAAAAACAGACAAUGUGCAUUUUAGUGGGUCAGCCAAUAAAAACAAAUGGUACGCCUUAAAGUUACAUACUCAUCUAACCAAAUCAAUAUAGUUUAGGGAAAAGUGGGAUUUGAUUCACUAAUAAGAAAAUAUAUGGUAAAAAGAAUCCCAAAUAUUUUAAAUUAGUAUUAUCUUCAUCUAUUUAAAAAUAAUUUGAAAUACAUGCAAUGAGUUAUCCAAUUAUUCCAAAAAAUGUCAUUUUAUUUUUUAUGUUAUUCAAAUCAAUUGACAACUAUACUCCUCCAUAUAAAUGUUUCCUUAUUAUUUUAGAUUUUUUUUUUUAUUAUUUUAUUAUUUUAGAUUUUUUUUCCUCUAGAAACAAACACCUUAUAGGAUUCUUAUUUUAGUUUUCUAAAAGUUUAGGAAAUAUUGUCAAACAAAUCAUAUUUAAUUAUAAUUACCAAUUCAAGAAGUAAUAAGAUUGUUUAUUAAAUAAUAAAGAAUAAACUUCGUAAUAUAUAAUUAUUUUAAUAUUAUAACAAAUUUAUUAUUGAAAAACUCUAAUAACAAAUUUUAUUCAUUAUUAUAUUAAACAAUUAUUAAUAUUAUAUAAUAAAUAGAAAUUUAUUAUUGGUUUAUUUAUUAUCAAGAAUACGAAUCUAUUUUUAACUUAUUAAUACUAUAAUAAAUUCUGUUUUUUUUUUCAAAUUAUUACUUUAUAAUGUUUUUAGAGAAAAAAAAUUUCCCAAAUAAUAAAAUAAUAAAGUAAUAAUAAUAAUAAUAAUAAUUUAAGAUUAUUGACAACUACACUCCUCCAUAUAAAUGUUUCCUUAUUAUUUUUAGAUUUUUAUUUUAUUUUAUUAUUUUAUUAUUUAAGAUUUUUUUUCCUCUAGAAACAAACAUCUUAUAGGAUUCUUAUUUUAGUUUUCUAAAAGUUUAGGAAAUAUUGUCAAACAAAUCAUAUUUAAUCAUAAUUACGAAUUCAAAAAGUAAUAAGAUUGUUUAUUAAAUAAUAAAGAAUAAACUUCGUAAUAUAUAAUUAUUUUAAUAUUAUAACAAAUUUAUUAUUGAAAAACUCUAAUAACAAAUUUUAUUCAUUAUUAUAUUAAACAAUUAUUAAUAUUAUAUAAUAAAUAGAAAUUUAUUAUUGGUUUAUUUAUUAUCAAGAAUACGAAUCUAUUUUUAACUUAUUAAUACUAUAAUAAAUUCUGUUUUUUUUUUUCAAAUUCUUACUUUAUAAUGUUUCUAGAGAAAAAAAAAUCCCAAAUAAUAAAAUAAUAAAAUAAUAAAGUAAUAAUAAUAAUAAAAUAUCUAAAAAGAAUGGAAAUAUUUGUACAAAGGAUUCUAAUUGUCAAUGGAUUAGGAUGACAUGACAAGUAAAGGGCUAUUUUUGGGAAUAAUUAAAUCAUAAAUUAAAAAGUGCAUGCAUUUUAAAUUAUUUUUAAAUAAAUGAAGAUAAUAUUGGAAUUUUCUUUGUCAACCAAUCAGUUUUGAGAAAAAAAAGUUCUUGUAACGGAUAAGCUCCAGGAGGUUAGUUUUUGUAUAUAUAUAUAUAUAUAUAUAUAUAUAUAUAUAUAUAUAUAUAUAUAUAUAUAUAUAUAUAUAUAUAUAUAUAUAUAUAUAUAUAUAUAUAUAUAUAUAUAUAUAUAUAUAUAUAUAUAUACAUAUAUGUNNNNNNNNNNNNNNNNNNNNNNNNNNNNNNNNNNNNNNNNNNNNNNNNNNNNNNNNNNNNNNNNNNNNNNNNNNNNNNNNNNNNNNNNNNNNNNNNNNNNUUUUGAGAAAAAAAAAUUUUUGUAUGAGAUAAGCUCCAGGGGGUGUGUUUUUGUAUAUAUAUAUAUAUAUAUAUAUAUAUAUAUAUAUAUAUAUAUAUAUAUAUAUAUAUAUAUAUAUAUAUAUAUAUAUAUAUAUAUAUAUAUAUAUAUAUAUAAUGUAUAUAUAUAACAGUUCAUGUAAAUUUUGAUUUUUUUGUAAAUUAAAAUAUAAUAUUUUUUUAUAUUGAUAAAUAAAAGCCAUAUUGUUUUAAAGUACUUUAUUCAACAAACAACAAGAUCAGUGGCCCCAACAUUGAUAUGGUUACAAAAAUAGCUAUAAAAGAAAAUAUGACAUAUCAAAAUCCAAUUCAAUAAAAAUCAUAGUCCUCAAACCUCUGUUUCACUCAUGGAAGAAAAUAUCGGUAAUCACAGAUAUAUCGGUAUUUCGAUUUUACGGAUAUAUCGGAUAUAUCGGAGAUAUAUCGGCGGAUAUUCUGGAAAAAAAAAUCGAUAGACUUAAAAUUGUUAAAAACUCAUGAAAAUACAAGAAAAACAUCAUAAUAAUAUAAUUAGAAGUAUAAUUGACAUUUUAAAGUUGUUUUAUUGAAAAAUUUGAUAUAUAUAUAUAUGAUAUAAUUUGCGAUAUUAGAUGUAAUUACAUCAUGUCGAUCUAUAAGAAAUGUUAAUUUUGUAAUUGUUCUCAUUAUAAAGUCACAUAAAAUAUUUUAUUUCAUUAAAUAUCAAUAAUUUGUACACAUUAAAUUCAUUAAAUAAACAUAUUUCAUAUUCAAAAUAUACUAUUUCAUGUUAAUUAAAUUAAUUAAAUAAUUUAGCUAAGUUAACUAGUUUAAUUUAAUUCUAAAUGUGAAAAUAAAUCACAAAUAAUCAUCUAAAAUAAACAUAUCAAUUUAUAAUUAAAUAAUCAAAUUAACCUAAGUUAAUUCAAUAAAAAUAUAAAAAUUAAUUACAAUUGAAUGUAAAAAUAACAUUAAAUCAUCCAUAUUACAAACAUACUAAUUAAAUAAUAUAAAAUAAAUAAUGAUAUAUAUAUAUAUAUAUAUAUAUAUAUAUAUAUAUAUAUAUAUAUAAUUUUUUAAUAUUUAAUUAAUUAUUAAUGAUAUUAAAAACAUUAUGAAGAAAAUUAUAUAAUUUUUAUAUUUUUGGUAAUUAAUUAAAAGACUUUGUAUUUAAUUAUAAAAUAAUUAUAAUUAAUUUGCUAUUUAAAAUAUUCUUAUAUUUUCUUUAUAUAAUGAAUUUAACUAUAUAUAUAGUUGUUGCUUAUUAUAUAUCAAAGGGCAACUUAGCCCAAGUGGUAAGCUGAUGAACCCCAAACCUUUUGGUUUGGGGUUCAAAUCCUCUCAGCAGCAAGAAAGGAAAUGGGAGGCACGGCACUGUAGCGCGUGCACUGUAGCGCGUUGACGGGGCACUGUAGCGGGUCUGACCCGCGUUGACCACGCGAUAUAUCGCGAGAAAUAGCCUAUUUAUCGCCAAAUCACCGAUAUAUCGCGAGAAAUAUCCGAUUUCUCGCGAGAAAUAUCAAAAUAUCGCCGGACCGAUAUUUCUCCAUGAAAUAUCGUGUCGAAACCCUUCGAUACACGAUAUUUCGGCGAUAUAUCGCCGAAAUAUCGCGAUAUUUUCCUCCAUGGUUUCACUAAAAGGUACGUAAUCCUACAAUUCACUUCAUAUGACCCAUGAAGUUAGCGCCAUCAAGAUGAAUUGUCAUAAUUGAAACAAAUCUACAUAAACAAAUAGAGACCAUUUCACAUUUUAAACUACAAUAUCCAUCAAACAACAACAAGACUAAUGUUUACAAAAUUAAUGAAGUUACAAAACUACUGAAAGAAAAGAGUAACCUACCAUUUAAAAAUUUUCUACAUUUGUAUUAAAAAUAUAUGGUAACAAAAUUUUCUAUUAACAUUAAUUUAUUUAAAUAAUUAAUAUUAUUAAUAAUUUAUCUUAUCAAAUUAAUUUUAAUUUAUAAAAUAUUACUGAUAAAAACUGAAAUUUUGAUUUAACCAAAAUAAAGAUGGAUAAUUAAUAAUUAUUUAUAAUUAAUAAUUAAUAAUUUUGAUUUAUAAUAUUGUUCUUGUGAUUUGUUUCCUUUUUAUUUCUAUACUAUAUCUAAAAAACAAACAUGCUCGUUGCCAUUCGUUGAGGCAUUAUGGGAAGGUGAAGGACCCAACGGUGGAGAAUUUGUUGUCGGAGUUUGAUUUUGAGCACACUGUUGGGAGGAGAUUGGUUUCAACCUUUGGAACUCGGUCUGUGGUUCUAAUGGUGGUUGAUGCUUCAAAUUUUGAUGGGUCCGGCCACCACGCGUGAGGCAUCAAGAAGCCCCUUUGUUGAAUUCUUCUCCAGGCAAGCAUCAUGCCUUAUUUUCCUCUGCCACUCUCAAUCCUCGCAGGUACUAAUCUAAUCAUGUUAUUAAUAUUUAUUUUCAACCCCAAUUUGCUUCCCAAGAAAAUCCAUCCCCCAUUCGAUUUCCGGGAAAAUUCAUCAUCGUUUGAUUUCCGAGAGAAAUCCAUCAAAACUCCCAAGGAAAACCAAAUAAAAAAUGCUUUUAUUUUGUUGCUCCCUGUGUUUUCUGGAUCUGUUCUAAGGUUUUAUUUGUUUUUGUGCCAUUGGAUUUAAAUUCUACAAACCCUAAAUCCACGAUUUUUGAGCCACGCUGAAAACCACAACCUUUGCCCUCAAAUUGUGGAUCUGUGUGCGUGUGCGGCGGGCUGGACUGGUAAGUGGAGUUCAAAUACACUAUUUCUUUAAAUUGAUUGCUUUUUUGCCAUUGGAUUUAAAUUCUACAAACCCUAAAUCCAUGAUUUUUUAGCCACGCUGAAAACCACAACCUUUGCCCUCAAAUUGUGGAUCUGUGUGCGUGUGUGAUAUUUUUAAAAAAUUACCCAAUCUUCUGUCAAAGAUCUCAACAAGCAUCAAUACCAACCCAAAUUAACUCGUAAAUCCAUUACAUUCGUACUUGGAAAAGCUCCUCUUAGCUCGGACCACUUCUCUCUAUUUUCACUGCAAGCUCCCCUCGCGAAUUGUGGCUGUGAAAGAAAGUGAAAAAAUAUGGGUUUUUGGAGUUAGGGUUUGGUUCAAGAGAGAAGAAGGGAUUUGGAGGGUUUGGUUCAAAGAGAGAAAAAGGGAUUUAGGGUUUUGAUUCAACACAGAAGAAAUGAUUUCGGGUAAAUCUCACUAUUAUAUUUUAGUAAAUAUUUUUAAAAAAAUAUUGCCACAUGGAGUGUCUACAUGUCAUAUGAGCCAUGUCACUGGCUUAAGUGGAACAUGACUUUGCUGAGUAAUUGAUUAUGUCAAAGUGUAUGAGGGUAUUUUUGGAAGGCUCCUCAAUAUCACUAUUACAGUGUAUGAAAGGUGGUUUAUUUUUCACAAAAUCCAUUGAAUUUGAAAAGUAAAAAGUUAAGUUUCCAAAAGGCAAAAUUUUGCCCCUUGGUGUAUGGUUACAUAAAUUCCCCAUAUUCUAAGAGUAAUCUCCCAACUAUUGCAUUAGAAUAUGUACUUGCUAAUCAAUCAAUCAAUCAAUGGUCAUUGUCCUUAAGGGUCUCCAAAAAGCUCGCGGCUCGCCGCCCGGCCCGACGGGCUAAAGCCCGGCCCAAGCCCGUUUAUGGGCGGGCUGGGCCGCGGGCCGGCCCGUAGGCUCGCCCUUAGGCUCGCCCCUUUAAAAAAAAAACUACAAAAAUAAAAAGUAUUAAAAAAAAUAUUCAUUUCAAAAUUUUAUUCAUUGAAUGUAUAAUUACAUUUAAAAAUGUGGGAAAAGUUUACAUCACUACAAAAUAAAUACAUCCCAACUAGGUUGGCACCUAUUUAUUUGUCAAUCAUCUGUAUUUUUCAAUCACAAAAAAUAAAAAUAAAAAUAUAAUAUACAUUUAGUCAUUAUUUUCUGGCGGUGAUGGCGAACUAUCAUGCAUCCAUGAAGAUCUUGAUAAUUUUAAAGAUUCCAUAUCGGCAAGCAUCUCUGUUUCUCGAAUGGAAUCGUACAUCCUUUUAUCUGCUAUUUCCCCAUCUUUCACACAUAUCCCUGCUUCAAUAACAUCUGGCGCUAAGUUGCAUCGUUUUUUACUAACUACUCUUCCACCUGCACUAAAAGCAGCUUCUGAUGCAACUGUACUCACAGGAACUGUUAGUACAUCAUGAGCAAUUAUAGAAAACACAGGAUAUUUGUGUUGAUGUGAUUUCCACCAUAUUAAAAUAUCAAAAUCUUCUUAAUCUUCAAAUGAAAUUAUAUCAGUAUUAAGAUAUUUAUCUAAAUCAGAUGUAUUAUUUGGAGAACUAUUUGUUGUCUUUUUUCGACUUUUUAACAUUUCUAGAGCUCCUUUGUAAAAAGAUGAGGAGUUUGUAGGUGGUAAUUUAAUAGUAUUAAUAUCAUUACCAUAUUUUUCUUUAUAAUAGUUAUAUAAAUUAUAUAAUAAUGAAUUUAUUUCAUUUUUAAUUUCUUCAAUUUUUAUUUGGUCAUUAAAAUAAAUAAUUGUUAACCAUUCAUCCAAAGCUUCAAAUUUCAAUCUAGGGUCUACAAUUAAAGCAAUAUAAAAAAUUAAAGGUAUUUCUCCCCAAUAUUUUCUAAAUUUUUCUAUCAUUGCAAAUAUUGUAUCAUUAAACAUUUCAAAACUUAAAUAUUUUUGAAGUACAAUAAAAAUAUUAGUUAUUUGCAUAAUAACUCGAUUUGAAGUUGGAUAAUAUACACCACAAAAAAUGUUUGUUGAAGUAUCAAAAAUUUCAAAAAGAUCUCUUAAAAGAUCCGCAAUAUGCCAAUCAUAAUCAUUUAAUGCAUAAAUAUCUGCUUCACAAUCAUUGUUAAUUAAUUGUAUUUCAUAUAAUUCGACUACUUUUCUAUAUUUUGUAAAAGUUUAUAUGUGGAAUUCCAUCUAAUGGCCAUAUCCAAAUUUAUAUUUUUUCUUUUCAUAUUUAACAUUUUGCAACAAUAAAAAAAUAAUUCAUGUUUUGCUUGAGAACUAUUAAUACUAUAUGCAAUGCCUCUAAUUUUUUCCAAUGUACUAUCAACAUUUUUUAAUCCAUCCUUUACAAUUAAAUUUAAAAUAUGUGCACAACAACGCACAUGAAAUAUUUUAGCAUGAUCUUCUUUUACUUGCCAAUAUAGUUUUAGUCUAUGUAUUGCUGUAUCAUUAUUAGCAGCAUUAUCUAAUGUUAUUGUCAAUAUUUUAUCACGAAUGCCUAAAUCUAUAAUUUCAUCAUUUAUUAAAGCUGCUAUAUUUUUACCACUAUGUGGAGCAUUUAUUAAUUUAAAUGAAAUUAUUCUUUUAUUUAAUUUCCAUUCAUUAUCAAUGUAGUGAGCAGUUAUACAUAAAAAACUAGUGUGAGUUAAAGAUGUCCAAAUAUCAGAUGUUAAACAAAUAUUUCCUUCAAAAUUUGCAAAAAAAAAAUUUUAAAUUUCUUUUUGUGUAUAAAUUUUUUUCAUAAUAUCUCUUUUAACUAUAUUUCCAGACCAACUUUUAAAUUGAGGAUUAAUACCUCGUUGAAUUGUUCCUACAAAAUCAUGAGUUUCCAUCAUGUUGAAAGGUUGUUCUGCUCUUAUUAUAUAAUCAAUCAUUUCUUCACGACAGUUAGAUUCAUCAUAAGAAAAUGUUUUUAAAUUUUCACUUUCAUUUUUACCUAAUUGCAUAUAAUUUCUAAUAUCUACAUUAUUUUUAGUUUUACAAUUUUCGUGAUGUCUUUUUAAAUGACUUGUGCCUGCAUUUGAGCCACCAGUAAGAAAUUUAUUACAAAUUUUACAUUUUGCUUUUAUUUCUUUUUUAUUAUUUUCUAAAAUUAUUUCUAUUCUAUCAAAAAAAUUCCAUAUAUUUGAAGUAAAUUUUUUGUUUGAUGAUAUUUCAUCACAUGGACUAUAUGAAGAAGCACUUGCCAUAUUAUAAUUAUUGAUAAAAUAUUAUGCCAAAAAUAAUAAAGUAAUAAAUAUAAAAAAAAAUGUAACAAAAAAAUAAAGUAGUAGGGGUGAAGUAUGUUACUCAAUUAGAGAACCGAUGCAGAAAUUCCUAGCAAAUUUGAACUCUUGGAGCCACCAAUGCUUGUUUUGCACCACCAACAAUAUUGUAUAAUUUGAGGAAAAAAUAAAAGAAUUUGAAAUAUUGUAGAAUGUGAGAGAAAUAGAGAGAGAAAUAGAGAGAAUUUGAUGAAAAAAUGAAAAGGAAGAAAAUGUAUUUAUAGGAAGGUUUAAAAAAAAAAAAAAAAAAUUGGUCAUGUGACCGUUGGAGGCUUAGCCCCAACGGUCACAUGACUCACAUGGGCAGCUGGGCUGGAGCUCCAACGGUCACAUGACCGUUGGAGCCUUUAAUUUUUUUAAAAAAAUAAUAUACUUUAUUUUUAUAUAUAUAUAUAACUAACUCAAUUAAUAAGCACAAAAGGAAUGUAGCUCAGUUGGUUAGAGCCUUGAAAUUUAAGCAUGAGGGGAGGGGUUCGAAUCCCCCCCUCUCCCUUCCUUUUUUUAAAAGCCAUUUUGGCUUAUUUAAAAAAGCCCACGGCCCGCCCCGCCCAGCCCGCCCCUCAGCCCGCCAGCCCGCUAACCCGCGGGCUCAUAGGCCGGGCCGCGGGCCUAACAUUUUUGUAUGGCCCGGCCCGGCCAGGCCUGUUGAUUGGGCCCGGCCCGAGCUGGGCCGCGGGCCUCCUAUUUACGGCCCGCCCGUUGGAGACCCUUAAUUGUCCUUAUGACUUGAGAGCAUGGGAUUGCGCCAUUUUUUUUUUUUUUUACCGACAAGUAGUAAUUGGAAGACAAAAAUUGUUGUAUUUGAUAAAGUCAAUAUCAAUAUGUUGGAGCUUAACAUGUAGGUCUUGUUGUUGUAAAUUCAACUUUUGAUUUCUUCAGGGUUAACUCCAUACCAUUUCAAAUUAGAUGUUUUCUGAGGUAUGCAUGCAUAGAAGGUUCGUAAACCUUAAGGAUUAGCUAACACAACACAUUAGAAUGAAAAUGAUGGAGUGAAGGUCUGAAAAAUGCAACACCCUCCUAGUUGAAGUGCUUGUCCUUGGGCAUUCAAACAUUUAGAGAUUUCUUUGCUACUUUCUAUUUCAUUUCUAACUUUAAAAAUUUGAUUUUGAAAUAUUUUUAAAGUAGAAAUCCUCCAUAAUUAAUUUCUAAAGUAUUUUAAGCAUACAUAAGCAUGUUUUAUUGAAAAUUUGUGAGCAUCUAAAUCUCACAAGAGGAUAGUCAUUAUGGAUGUUUGAGCCUCUAUCUUUCAAUUUUUUUCAAGAUAUUUCUUAAAAGAACUUUCAAAUUUGUUUACUACAAUAAAGAUCAAGGACUCACAUUACUUAAAUUUAAUUUAUUAAGGGUUUCAAACAAUCUAAUAACAGGCAUAAGAAAGUAUUACAUUGAGACAUAGAAAGAAAAGUGAUGGUAUUGAUGAUAUUAUACCUUAAAAAAUAAGUAUAUCAAAUCAAGCUAAAUGAUAUUUUUUUUUUCUUAUAUUUAAUUGAUAACUUGGUGAUCAAGAGAUGAUCCAUGAUCUUUAACCUAGGGGUUCUAGGCAGUUUUUCAUUUUUAUUCUAUAUAUUCUUACAAUUAUUUAGAAAAAGGAUUACUUGCUCGAAAAAGAUUGAAUAUUUUUUGUGUAAUUUCCUAACAACCAAACAUGCUAAUAUUGGCAUUAAUUUUGGUUGACUUUCUUUUGGUAAGAAUAAGACAAAUAACUAAAGAAAGUGCUACGAGAUAUUUGUACACUUUAGGUUCCCUAGGAAGUAUAAGAAAGAUUAGUGAUUUUUUGUUUGUUCGAUUAGUUGGUUGAUUGGAGUUUCGUGUUUUGUUGUUUAUUUGGGAAUUGAUAGGACAUGACCUUUUAAAGAAAAUGAUUCUUUAACAUGAGCACAAUGAACAGUUUUGUCCUUUGCAACAGUAAGUGAGUAUAGAAAUAAAAUGAAAAGAUUUGUACUUUAUAUGAGUUGUUCUUUGGGAAUACUACCUACAUUUGACCUCGAUAAUAAAAUGAUAUGUAAAGUGCAUGUCAUUAAAAAAUUUAUAAAAAUUUAUCAAACUAUAUAACCUAUUGGUGAGAAAUAAUCACAUGCAUUUUAUACGUAUCUAAAUAUCAUAAUUUUUUUAAUAAUUUAUUAUUAAAUAUCAAAUAUAAUUUGUUAUUUAAUGAACUAUCUAACUCUACAUAAAAAUAAUAAAAAAUCUUAAUUUUUUAAUUGUAUUUUUAAUUUUUUUAAUUUUUAAUUUUAUUAAUCUCAAAUUAAUUCUCAUAUUAAAUUAAUUUAUAUUAUUAAUAUAUAAAAGGGUCAUUUUAGGAAAUAAUUAUUUGAAUCAUGAAAAAAUAUAUAUUUUAAAAUAUUUUAAAUGAGUGAGGAUAAAUAUGAUUUAUAAAAGUUUGAGAUAUUUUUUUAUACUUUUUUGUUUUAAAUUGGUAAGUGAAAACCCACUUUUUCCAAAAAUAAUUAUAUAAACAUGUAGAAUAAAACACUACNNNNNNNNNNNNNNNNNNNNNNNNNNNNNNNNNNNNNNNNNNNNNNNNNNNNNNNNNNNNNNNNNNNNNNNNNNNNNNNNNNNNNNNNNNNNNNNNNNNNUCUAUCAACUCAAAGCUUUACUUAGAGUUAGGGAUGAAGAUAGGCGGGCUCACCCGAUCUAAUUUGAACCCAAUUGGAUAUUUGAACGAAUUUAAACAAUCAUUUUUAAUAAUCAGGUUGGGUUGAGUUAGGCUUUUUUCAACCUGAACUUAAUUUGGAUUGAGUUCGGAUUAAGGUUUAGACAACUAGAGUUUAACUUGAAUCCGAUUUAAUGUUUUUAUAAUAUUUAUAACACAUUUUAUUCUAUAUAAUAAUAUAAGUUUUCUUUUUCUAUUUUUAUGAAAAAUAUCAAAUUAUAUUAGAUACUAUGGUUUUUAUUAUUUUUAGAAAAUAUAUAAAUUUAUGCUUAUUCUUUUAUUGCUAUCUUGAAAUUUUGUCCUAUUUGUUAUUAAAAUUUUCAUAUAAAUACAUUAAGAUAAUAUUAUACAUAGAUUUUGAAUUAUGCAACAUGACCAAUUCAAGUAUAACUUGAUCAAUCUGAAUUUAACUUAAACAACCCAAACUCAAUCUAAGUUUAGAAAAAUUAGAUUGGAUUCAACUUGAUUUAAGUACAUUGGGUUAGAGUUCAAGUUGGGUUGAGUUCAAAUUGAUUAUUUCUUAAUUCAAUUUAGGUUUAGGUUAAUCUUCAACUCGAUCAAAUCACCCAAUUUACAACCCUAGAUAGAGUACCAACUUUCGAAUCAUACUUUAAUAAACCCAAAAGCCUAAUUAAGAGUAAAAAAAAGCUACCUAAAAGCAAAUCAACUUGAAUUUUUAUCGAAAAAACAAUAUCAGUAAUACAUUUAAGUUAUGUUUGGUUUUCAAAAAAUGAAGGAAAAUAAAAAAUAGGAUUAAAGUUAAUAAAUUAUUUUUAUAUGCUAGCUUCUUCAAAUUCAUUUAACUUAUUUCUCUCAAUUACCUGAAGAUUAAAUAAUUUUUAAAUAUAUAAAUUUCUAAUGAAUUGUAAUUAUAAUUAAGCUAGGAGAGAUUUACAUUUGAAAAAGUACCAACAUCUUUAACCUAUCUGAGUCAUCUAAGAUAUGUCGAUAUUUCUUAUAAUAAAUAUGAGGUACUUCUUAAUGCAAUUACAAAGCUAAAGCAUUUACAGACAUUGAAACUUUUUCAAUGUUUGUAUCUUAAAGAAUUGCCAAAAAAUAUAAACAAUUGGACAAACUGGAGGCAUCUUGAGAUUGAUGGGAAUAGUGGAUUGACUUUUAUGCCAUGUGGGUUAGGAGAAUUGACUAUGCUUCAGACUCUACCAUUGUUCUUUGUUGGGAAUAACAACAUGAAUUCUAGUGAUAAGAGAAUUGGUCGGUUGAAUGAAUUAAAAUGCAUUAACAACCUCAGAGGAGAAUUGUAAAUUGCACGACUUUCAAAUAUGAGGGGUGGUUGUGAACGUUUGCAAAAAAAAAAAAAAAAACCACCACACAUUAUCGUGGUGAGUGUUUUUUUCUAUAUAUUGUCAUUUACAAAGUACAUAAAAAUAGAAAAAAUAAAUAUGUACAAGAGAAUAGCCUAGAAUUAAGGACAAGAUAUUGAGCCGAAUAUUAAGGUAGCUAAUUAAAGUAACGUAUCCUUGACACCCCCCCCCCCCCCACAAGUUGAGCGUCGGAUUUGAAUAGACAUGAAGCUUGGUACGAAAGAAGUCAAAGAAAGGGCGAGAAACACUUUCGGUGAAGAGGUCGGAAACCUGUAGAUGAGAGGGCACAUAUUGAGUGCGAAGUUUACCAACAACAAGAAGUUCCCGAAGAAAAUGAUAGUCUAAUUCAACAUGCUUAGCCAGUUUGUGGGAAACGGGGUUGGACCUUAAGAAAAUCGCACUUUUGUUGUCACACGGGAGAAUAGGCUUCGGUGUAAUGGGAACCUUAAGAUCAUGAAGUAGAUGGGCGAGCCAAAGGAGUUCAGCUGCAGUAGUGGCAAAGGUACGAUGCUCAGAUUCACAACUAGAACGAGAGACAGUGGGUUGCUUUUUAGCACUCCAAGAAACCAGAUUAUUGCCAAGAUAAAUAGAGUAGCCAAAGGUGGAAUAGGGAGUAUUGGGACAACCGGCCCAAUCAGCAUCAGAGUAAGCAACUAGGGCACUAGGAGCACCAAAAGGGCGAAAAGUAAGACCAAAGUGAAGUGUGCCCUUGACAUAACGUAAGAUGCCCUUGACCGCAAGAAAGUGAUCCUCAGUAGGGGCAUGUAGAAACUGACUAACAGAGUUGACAACAUGAGCAAUGUCAGGGCGAGUGAUGGUUAAGUAUUGAAGGGCACCAACUAGGGAUCGAUAAAGAGUGGGGUCUGAGAAGGCAGUACCAUCACUAGUUAGAUGCUGAGAGACAACCAUAGGAGUGUGAAUAGGCUUGCUGUUAAAUAACUGGGCACAAGUCAGAAUAUCCCAGUCAUGUUUCAGCUGAUUGAUAAAAAGACCAUCAGUAGUGGAAGUGGCUUCCAAACCAAGAAAGUAGCUGAGAGAGCCCAAAUCCUUGGUGGCAAACUCAGAAUUGAGCUUGUGAGCAAAGCUAUCAAGAAGAGAAGAGUUAUUGCCAGUAAUGAUAAUAUCAUCAACAUACAAGAGCAAAUAAAUAAUGUCAGACUAUUGAUGAAAGACAAAAAGAGAGGUGUCUGCACGGUUGCAAGAAAACCCAAGGGUGAGAAGAAAAGAGCUGAAACGUUGAAACCAGGCACGAGGAGCUCUUUUGAGGCCAUAGAGAGCUUUCUUCAAUUGACAGACAUGAUUCGGGUACCGGGGAUCAAUGUACCUAAGAGGUUGUUCCAUAUAACAUUUUCAAUGAGAGUGCCAUUGAGGAAUGCAUUCUUCACAUCAAGUUGGCGAAGAGGCCAUUUGUUGGUAAUAGCAAGAGAGAGCACAACAUGAACAAUAGUAACCUUAAUAACAGGAUUGAAAGUGUUAGUAUAAUCAAGACCAGGUACCUGAGUAUAGCCUUUGGCCACAAGACGAGCCUUGAGGUGCUCAAUAGACCCAUCAGGCAAAUAUUUGGUCCAGAACACCCAUUUGGAACCAACAAUAUUUGUGUGGGCAGGUCAAAGAACUAGAACCUAGGUGCGAUUAUGUUGCAGAGCUUGAACUUCUUCAUCCAUGGCAACAAGCCAUGCAGGAUUCUUAGUAGCAGACUUGAAUCAUUUAGGCUCGGUGGAGGCAAGAAGAGUAGAGAGAAGCCCAAAUGAGCUUAAGACAUUGAGAUUCGUCGGAUGACGGGUCUUGAAAAUGCCAGCUUUAGCUCGAGUAAGCAUGGGAUGAGAACCCAACGGAAGAGCUAGAGCAAGAGCAACAUCAGAAGCAACAGGAGGUGGACGAGGCUUCAGAGACGGGGAAGAUGGACCUACAAGAAAGUCAGUAACUUGCAAAGACUUGUCCAUUGGGUUAGUACAAAUAACACACGGGUUAGAUUCGGACGGUGUAAUGGAGGGAGAAUGGUGUAGAGGAGACAUCGGAGGGGGGUCAACAUGAGGCAUGCUUGGUUAAAGGAAAUUCGAAAAAUGGAGAGAAGAAGGGGGUUGGGCUUGGGAGCCAUUUAUGGAGGGAAAGUGGUGUUUAUCAAAUUGAGCAUGACGGAUGAUAUAAAGCUUAGAGGUGGUGGGAUCAAGACAACGAAAACCUUUGUGGGAAGGGCUAUACCUUAGAAAGAUGGAAAGAAUGCUGUGAGGGGAAAAUUUUUUAGACAUAUAAUCACGCAGACAAAGAUAAACAGGACAACCGAAAUGAUGAAAAUUCUCAUAAUUAGGUUAUGAACCAUAGAGAAGCUCAAAUGGAGACAUACCUCCGAGAAACAGUGUGGGCAAAAGGUUGAUGAUGUAGGUUGUAGUGCUGAAGGCAUCAACCCAAAAGCAAGGAGAAAUAUGAGAAUGGAAAAGGAGGGUCAGACCGGUUUCUGUCACAUGUUGGUGUUUUCUUUCAGCACGACCAUUUUGGGUGGGGGUAUAGGGGCAAGAGAGUUGAUGAUGAAUACCCGAGUUGCUAAGGUGGGCUUUGAAGUGAUUGCUUGUAAACUCAGCACCACCAUCACUUUGAAAAAUUUUGAUGCGAGUAGAAUGUUGGUUUUCAACAAGAUUUUGAAAGUGAAUAAAAAUGUCAUAAAAUUCAAAUUUUUAUUUCAAAGGGUAAAGCCAAGUAAAGCGGGAAUAAUCAUCAAUGAAUAGCACAUAAUAAAUAAAUCCCGAAGUUGACUUAACGGGGGAAGGACCCCAAAUAUCGUAAUGAAUAAGAUCCAACACAUGAGACAAGCGACGUUCAUUACGAGAAUAAGGCAAGCAAUGAUUUUUUGCAAUUUGACACGUCACAUAAUGAAAGAGAAGGCAACAAUGAGGUAAGAUAAAGAUGGUCAUUUUUAUUUAAUAAAGAAAUAAUUGCUAACAUGUCCAAGACGAGCAUGCCAUAAAUCAUACAAGGCAUGAAGAGCCUUAUUUUUAAGAACAAAAAUGAAAGAGGAAUUGUCGUGCUCCAGCACAUAUAGACCACCAUAUCUUUUACCGGUUGCCACCACCCUUCCCGUUUGACGAUUCUGGAUAGAAAAAAGUUAUUAGUAAAUGUAAUAGCAAGAGGAGGAAAACCGGAUGUUAAUUUACUAAUUGACAAGAGAUUUUUCGUUAAGCGAGGAACAACUAAUACAUCCAAUAACUCAAUAGAUGGGGUAGAAGAGAUGGUACCGGUGUGGGUAAUGGGAAGGGAAGCACCAUUCCCGACAACUACACGAUCCUUACCCGUGUAAUUACUUGCUCGAUCCAAGUGGGAGAGGUCUGGUGUCAUGUGGGCUGAAGCCCUUGUGUCCAGGUACCAGUCACUGGGCUUGGGCCUAUUAAGAGAGCAAGAGGCCUUAAAGGCCUUAAAGGCCUCGACAAGGUUGGUUGUGGUGCCAAUAGGUUCUCCACCUUGUGCAUACCGCUGGUUUCACUUAUCAGCGUAGUGCCCUUCCUGGCGACAGAUCUGGCAGCGUGGCGGACGGUGGCCCUGCUCGGAGUUGGAACGACCAUUAUCACGGUGGGAAGAUGAGUGGCGACCUGAUUGAUGACGAGACUGGUUUAUGAAAGCUGAGCGAGGUUGACCGUGAUUGGUGGCUAUGAAAGCAGCUGUGGGUGGGCCAUGAUUGUCAACGGAUUUAUGGAAAAGCUUAAAGCUUUCAGCCUUGGAGACCAAAUCAGGAAAGGAGAGUAGUGGCGUUUGAGCCAUUUGGGCGGGUGGAAAAGCUUGUGAAAUUUGAACCAAGGCUACGAAGGAACCAAUGGACUUUAUCAGUGCCGUCGACUUGUCUUCCAAUCGUGUGGAGUUGAGCACAAAGGGCUUUGAAUGCCCGAGUAUAUUCGGUUACCAAUCGCGUCCCAUGUCUCAUCAAUUGAAAGUCAUCCUUGAGCCGAAUUUCUCUGGCUUUUGAUCAGUGACUGAAUGUAUUUUCGAGUGCUAACCAGACCUCGCAUGAGGUGGAGAGGCCCACGACCUUGGCCAUGGCUUCCUCCGUGAGGGAGGAGAGCAAAAGACUCAAGAGGCGCUGGUCAGUAUUUUUCCACGCCAAGUGCUUGAUGUUUGGUGUCCGAGAGUCAACAGGAGCAAACCGUGGAGGAGAUGCAAGAGUUCCAUCCACAUGGCCGAGAAGUUCUUGGCUUUCAAGGAGAGGAAGAAGUUGGCUCUUCCAUAUGAGAUAAUUGGAGGAGGAGAGUUUGAUGGUCACCAUGUGAAUCAUGGUGUUGAAAGGGAGAAUGGUGGGGGAGGUGUUUUUGAUAGCCAUUGAAGCAAGGGGGAUCGAUGGAGGCUAGUCCGAGAGGGCUCUGAUACCAUGUGAACGUUUUCAAAAAGAAAAAAACCACCACACAUUAUUGUGGUGAGUGCUUCUUCUACAUAUUGCCAUUUACAAAGUACAUAAAAAUAGAAAGAAUAAAUAUGUACAAGAGAAUAGCUUAUAAUUAAGGACAAGACAUUGAGCCGAAUAUUAAGGUAGCUAAUUAAGGUAAUGUAUCCUUGACAGUGGUGCAUUAGAUUCCAAGGAAGCAAAUUUGAAAGGAAAACAGUGCUUUCAUUCCUUGAGAUUAUAUUGGUUGGAGCCAAUAGAAUGGAUGAUAUGGGACUUUGAACCAGAAAGGAACAACGUUGAGGAGGCUGAGUCGGUGACCCAAGUCUAAAGGAGCUCUACAUUAAGGAUUAUAUUGGUGAGAGGUUCCCAAGUUGGAUGAUGAAUGAUGGGUUUGGUUCAUUGCUCCCAAAUCUAGUGAAAAUUAUGAUGAAGAGGUGUAAAAGAUUCAGAGUUUUGCCACUGUUCGGUCAACUCCCUUCUCUUCAGUAUCUGGAGCUUGAGUGUUGUAUGGAGAACAUGAAGAGCUACUCAUCAUCAGCAACACCAUUCUUCCCAUCCCUGAAGACACUUCGACUUGAAAGGUUGCCUCAUUUGAUGGAAUGGGGAAAGAGGGACGUAGCAACAGAGCAAGCUCCUUCAGUUCCUUGUCUUUCCAAACUAAAGAUCAAAGUUUGCUGGCUGGCCCUAAAUUGAUGUCCUUGGCAUUGCCUUCAUCUCCUUCUAGUCUUUCUAUUCUAGAUAUCAAAGAAUGCAAUAACUUGGCAUCCUUGGCACUACCAUCAUCUGCUUUUCUUUAUGAUUUCUCAAUUAGACAUCAGUUCUUGCAAUAACUUGACAUCAUCGACACUUUCUUCAUUUCCUUGUCUUUCUCAAUUACAUAUCAAUUUUUGCCAGAACUUGAAAUCAUUACCAUUGUCUUUGUUCCUUGUAUUUCGAAAUUGCACAUCAGAUCUUGCCAUAAAUUUUUGCAAUAAAUUACUGUUUUUUGAGGAUUUGUUUUGGAAAUAAAUUACUUUUUAGGAUUUUUGCAAUAUUUUUUAGUUGUUUUAAAUUGUUUUCACUUGUUUUUUAUGAUUUGUUUUAAAAAAUAAUGGAAAAAACAAGCUUUGAUUCACUAAUUUGAAAAAAUAUAAAAAAAAUGACUUCCACUUUUAUAAAUCAGUUUCAUCUUUAUUCAUUUAAAAAUAUUUUUAAAUAUAUGUAUUUUUUAUAACUCAAAUUAUUGUUUUCUGAAAUACUCUUUUACUUGAUAAUAUUAAAUAAAAUUAUUUAAAAUUAUAUUAUAAUUUUUUUAUUGUAUAACAUAAGAUAUAAAUUAUUGUGGAAAAAUCAUAUAGGAUUCUUAAGUAAUAAAUAAAAUCUUUAUAAUCCCUUAAUCAAUAAUGAUUUUAUAUCGUGAAUUAUGUAAAUCCCAUCAUUUUCUCAUUUAUCUAAUAAAAUUAAAUACAAAUUUUGUUAGUUGACAUCAACAAUAAAAUAAAAAAUUUUAAAAAUUAAAAAUACAAUUAAAACUAAAAUACAUAAAGAUUAAAUACAAUUUAAAACAAUAAAAACUAAAAAAUUAAAAUAAAAAUAUUUACUCCCAUUGUAUUUUUAACUAUUUCUUGAUAUUUAUAUUUUCUAUUAGAAUGUUUUAAUUAAGUGAAAGUUAAUAUUUUAUUUUUAUAUUUUUAGCUUUAAAGUCUUUUUUGUUUUAAUUGUAUUUUUAAUUUUCUUAAUUUUUUAUUUUAUUAAUCUCAAAUCAAUUCUCACUUUAUAUUAAUUUGUAUUAUUAACAUAUAAAAGGGUCAAUUUAGGAAAUAAUUAUUUGAGUUAUAAAAAAGUGUACAUAUUUUAAAAUAUUUUAAAUGAGUGAAGAUAAAUUUGAUUUAUAAAAGCUUGAAUUCUUUUUUCUAUAUAUAUAUAUAUAUAUUUUUUUUUUAAAUUAGCCAAUAAAAACCCAUUUUUUCUAAAAAUAAUUAUAUAAACACGUAGAAUAAAACACUACACAUAAAAAUUAUUUUUAAAAAUAAUAAAAAUAUGUUAAAGAUAAUUUAUGUCUUUAAACAAACCUUUUCUUUACAAAAUAUAAAAGAAUAAUUUUUUAAAACUGCUAUUUAAAACUAUUUUUGAUUCAAAAACGUACAAUUUCUAAACAUAGCCUAUGUUUUUGUCUUCUUUUCUUUUUAUCACCUUGUUCUUUACUUUGUUUUCUUAUACUCUGCACAAGGCUCUUUAGUUUCCUCCACAACACUCCUACCAACUGCCACCACCUUCUUUGACAGGCCAUACAUAGCUUAAUGUUUUAAAAAAUGAAGAUAAAAAGGAAAUCAUUAAUUGGAUGUCAACCUAAUGCAACCAUUAUAUUUAAAUUGAAUUGUUUUGUAGUUGGUCGGUGUAGACCCCUUUUAAUAGGCCACCCCCGGGAGGAGUAAAAUUUUCGUUUUUUUUAGGGGUGGGGGACGACUACCAAUGGCACAUGAAGACGCAUGGCGAAGCGCGUCACCAACUCACCAUGGUGGUGGUUGGGAUGGCGACCUGGCUGAGCGGUGAAUAAGGGAGCAGAUAAUGGCUUGGUUGGGAAGAAAACCGGAUGGGGGGCCAAGUCUAGAGGGUAAAGAACAAAAAAAUGAGUUUUGGGUGGAGAUACUGGAGGAUGCUGGGUUGGUUGGGGGAGUCUAGGGUUCUAGGGAAAAAGAAUUCUCUGGCCAGGCGAGAGCUGUGAAGGAGCUCUCAGGUAAGUUUACAGGGUAUCUCUCGUUCAUAUUCACUAUCACAGUUCUUUCAUUUUUUCCUCUUGCUAUUUGGGGUUCCGUUUGUUUGUUUGGAUAUGGAUAAUAGGAGAUAUGCAUGAGUUUUGUUGAUUUCCGGCUCGUUUAUAUGCCCAUUGAUCGUUUCAUUCACUGUCCUUCUUAGCAUUGGUUUAAACCUAGUAAAGUUAUGUUUCAUUUUGCUCUAUGUGAAGAUAUUGUUUGCUAUUUUCUCGUUUGGACCCGUCGGUACCCUUCCCACCAAUCCAAGCCCGUUGAAAGAGCAUUAGAUAUGGUUUCUCUUGAUUCAUAUGUAUAUUUUCUUGUUUACUUUUCCUAUUUUGUUUUCACGUUUUUACUCUCCUCCAUCCCUCCACCCCUCCACCCUCUAAUCCACCACGCCCAUCUUUCACCCACAUACCAACCCACUUCUGCCACCACCCAACCCGACAUCAUACUUCUACAUAUCCUUCAUUCAUGACUCCAUCCCACCAUGCAUGGAAAUACCAACCCUAUUACAAUCCGUUUCUAUGCCUCAUUCAUACCCAUUUCCUAUCCACAUGCAUGAAACCAUGUAUGGAACUAUGCAUAUCAACACCCUUCUAUGGAACCAUGCAUAUCACCACCCUUCCGUGCCCACCUUACCCAUUCUUUCUUACCACCUCUCUCUACACCACGUUCAUAAUGCCCACUUUCUAUCCACAUGCAUGAAACCAUGCAUAUCACCACCCUCCUAUACCCACCUUACCCAUUCUUUCUUACCACAUUUCUCUUUCUACACCACGUUCUUCAUGCCCACAUCCUAUCCACAUGCAUGAAACCAUGCAUAUCACCACCCUCCUAUACCCACCUUACCCAUCCUUUCUUACCACCUUUCUCUCUACACCACGUUCUUCAUGCUCACUUCCUACCCACAUACAUGAAACCAUGCAUAUCACCACCCUCCCAUGCCCACCUUACCCAUUCUUUCAUUAACCUAUCUCUCAUUCCGCACCUCCAUUCUUCAUGCCUUUCGGGAACCAUACCACCAUACCCAUAUCAACACCCACUAACCCAUUCCCUUAUCAUAUUAUCGAUACCCUUUUCUCUUACUUAUCACCUUUCUCAUUUUCCAAACCUCCAUCACUCGCUCCACUAGUCUCAUACCCAUUUUUCCUCACCACCGUGGCAACCUCCAUCCACACCGCCCUACUUUCUUGUCCUUUAUCUUAGAGAGAAAAUUUUGGUAAGUUACUCAUUUUAAUUUCUACAGUGGGUGUAUUUUUUUAUGUUUGUGGGUCUUGCAUAUUGGCUUUGAGCCCUUGGGCCUGGGUGUAAUUGGGCAUGGUUUGAGUUGAUUAUUAUAAAGCAAGUUGUGGGCUGUGAGACCCUUGGGACCGUUUAGGCUUGGGUCAUUAUGCUAAUGGAUAUGGGCUUGGGAUGGUGCCUAGGCCCAUAUGUGUUGAUGAAAGGCCUCAUGUUUUGUUCACCCAUCUUAAGUUGGCUCAUGCCCAUUUCAAGUCCAUACUCACUUCAAGUUAGCCCAUUUGUUUGUUUUCAAUUUACAUAAUUUACCUUUUUAAAAGCCCUAAUUUCUCAAUAAAUUUUCUAAAUUUAAAUUCCAAUUUCUGAAAUUUUAAUUUUCACAUCAAUUUAUUUAAUCAAUAUUACUUUAUUCAUUUGUUUAUUUGUUUAUUUUUAAAAUUCAAUCUUUAAAAAAUCCUUCAAAAUUCCGAUUUCUAAAUUUUAAUUCUAAUUUCCGAAAUUUUAAUUUGCAUAUCAAUUUAUUUAAUCAUUAUCAUUUUAUUCAUUUAUUUAUUUGUUUAUUUUUAAAAUUCAAUCUUUAAAUAACUCUUCGAAAUUCUGAUUUCUAAAUUUAAAUUCCAAUUUUCGAAAUUUUAAUUUUCACAUCAAUUUAUUUAAUCCUUAUUAUUUUAUUUAUUUAUUUAUUUGUUCAUUCUUAAAAUUCAAUCUUUAAAUAACUCUUCAAAAUUCCGAUUUCUAAAUUUAAAUUCUAAUUUUCGAAAUUCCAAUCUUUAUAUCAAUUUAUUUAAUCAUUAUCAUUUUAUUCAUUUAUUUAUUUGUUUAUUUUUAAAAUUCAAUCUUUAAAUAACUCUUCAAAAUUCUGAUUUCUGAAUUUAAAUUCCAAUUUCCGAAAUUCUAAUUUUCACAUCAAUUUAUUUAAUCAUUAUUUUAUUUAUUUAUUUAUUUGUUUGUUUAUUUUUAAAAUUCAAUCUUUAAAUAAUUCUUCAGAAUUCCAAUUUUUGAACUUAACUUCCAAAAUUCCCUUUCUUAAAUUCAAUUCCCAAGACUCCAAUUUCCAAAUAAUUUUCGAGACUCUGAUUUUCAAACAAAUUUCAAAAAUCCAGUUUUCACUCGAACAGUUUUAAUUCCAUCUCGAUUCUCAAAUAAUCUGUUGUUCAUCUUGAUUUUACAUAAGUAUGAAUGUCAUUUUUCAUAAUUCCAUAAUAAUGGAAUUUGUGAUAUUAAUUCGUGCAAAAUAGAUCGGGCUUUGGUGGGGGCCCCACAUACGUGAUUUUAUGAUUGAUUGAUUUAUUCUAUUCCAUAAUAUGCACAUAAUCAUUCUAUGUUUGUUCACUAACCAUUUGUUUUCCUUUAAGUAAAUCAGUUCAUCACUGAGGUACAUUAUUUGCGUCUCCCAUUCAUUCAAUUAUUUUGUUUUGAGUGGUAUUUAUUUGGUAUCUAUGUUCGAUUAAUCAAUUGUUAUGCUUGUUUCAUUUUAUUAACAGAGAUCCAUUUUAGAGACUUAAAGGGAUGUUAUAGUCUUUAUCGUACCUUCUCGAUAAGUAACCUGACCCUCGAACCCGAUUCGGUUUUUUGUAGACCACCUUUUCCAAAUAAGGAGUCACACUUAGGGUUUUCUUUCUUAUUUUGUUUACCAUUUAAAAAUAAAAUUAAAAUAAGUGGCAACUCCAAGUUUUUUUUUUUUCAAAAAAAUCAAAUUUCCAUCAAAUAAAACAAAAAGCGAAUUUCGCCAUCGAGGGGAAGCGCAUGAGCCGAAAUGCGGGGUCCACGUUUAGAUUUCCACAUCUUUCCCAAAUAUUGUUGAAGUAUUGGUUUGACAAGGGCUAUUUUCUUCUAGAAAAUAAGUGAACAUAUAUAUUAUUAUCACUUCAAAUAAAGUCUAUGGGAAUUAUGGCUUCUUACUUCAAUGUUAAUCUGGAUAGACAACUCAUAUUUUUAGUCAUUACCAUAAUUGUUGCAAUCAUGCCAUUAAUAUAUUUGUGACUAGUGUAUUUAAAUACCACAUCCACAAUCAUAGCUGUAAUUGCUCCAUGUAUCAAGCCAUUACAUGCGUUUAUAUACCCAUGUAAAUUAUGAAUGAAAGCAAGAGUUUUUCUUUUGUUUUAAAUCUAUCAACUCAAAGCUUUACUUAGAGUUAGGGAUGAAGUUAGGCAAGUUCACCCGAUCUAAUUUGAACCCAAUCCGAUAUUUGAGCGGAUUUAAACAAUCAUUUUUAAUAAUUGGGUUGGGUUGAGUUAGGUUUUUUUCAACCUUAACUUAAUUUGGGUUGGUCUUGGAUUAAAGUUUAGACAACUAGAGUUUAACUUGAAUCCGAUUUAAUAUUUUUAUAAUAUUUAUAACACAUUUUAUUCUAUGUAAUAAUAUAAGUUUUCUUUUUCUAUUUUUAUGAAAUAUAUCAAAUUAUAUUAUAUACUAUGUUUUUCAUUAUUUUUAGAAAAUAUAUAAAUUUAUGUUUAUUCUUUUAUUGCUAUCUUGAAAUUUUGUCCUAUUUGUUAUUAAAAUUUUCAUAAAAAUGCAUUAAAAUAAUAUUAUACAUAAAUUUUGAAUUAUGCAACAUGACCAAUUCAAGUGUAGCUCGAUCAAUCUGAAUUUAACUUAAAUAGCUCAAACUCAAUCCAAGUUUAGAAAAAUUAGAUUGGAUUGAACUUGAGUUUAGUACAUUGGGUUAGAGUUCAAGUUGGGUUGAGUUUAGAUUGAUUAUUUCUUAAUUCAAGUUAGGCUUAGGUUAGUCAUCAACUUGAUCAACUCACCCAAUUUACAACCCUAGAUAGAGUACCAACUUUCGAAUCAUACUUUAAUAAACCCAAAAGCCUAACUAAGAGAUAAAAAAAAGCUACCUAAAAGCAAAUCAACACAUGAAAUCAACUUGAAUUUUUAUCGAAAAAACAAUAUCAGUAAUACAUUUAGGCUAUGUUUGAUUCUCGAAAAAUGAAGGAAAAUAAAAAAUAGGAUUAAAGUCAAUAAGUUAUUUUUAUAUGUUAACUUCUUCAAACUCAUUUAAUUUAUUUCUCUCUAUUAUAUGAAGAUUAAAUAAUUUUUAAAUAUAUAAAUUUCUAAUGAAGUGUAAUUAUAAUUGAGCUAGGAGAGAUUUACAUUUGAGAAGGUACCAACAUCUUUAGCCUAUCUGAGUCAUCUAAUAUAUGUCGAUCUUUCUUAUAAUAAAUUUGAGGUACUUCUUAAUGCAAUUACAAAGCUAAAGCAUUUACAAACAUUGAAACUUUUUCAAUGUUUGUAUCUUAAAGAAUUGCCAAAAAAUAUAAACAAUUGGAUAAACUUGAGGCAUCUCGAGAUUGAUGGGAAUAGUGGAUUGACUUUUAUGCCAUGUGGGUUAGGAGAAUUGACUAUGCUUCAGACUCUACCAUUGUUCUUUGUUGGGAAUAACAGCAGGAAUUCUAGCGAUAAGAGAAUUGGUCGGUUGAAUGAAUUGAAAUGCAUUAACAGUCUCAGAGGAGAAUUGGCAAUUGCACGUCUUUCAAAUAUGAGGGGUGGUGCAUUAGAUUCCAAGGAAGCAAAUUUGAAAGGAAAACAAUGCCUUCAUUCCUUGAGAUUAUAUUGGUUGGAGCCAAUAAAAUGGAUGAUAUGGGACUUCGAACCAGAAAGGAACAACGUUGAGGAGGCUGAGUCAGCGACUCAAGUCCAAAGGAGCUCAUAAAUAAGGAUUGUAUUGGUGAGAGGUUCCCAAGUUGGAUGAUGAAUGAUGGGUUUGGUUCAUUGCUCCAAAAUCUAGCGAAAAUUAUGACGAAGAGUUGUAAAAGAUUCAGAGUUUUACCAGUACUGUUUGGUCAACUCCCUUCUCUUCAGUAUCUGGAGCUUGAGUACCUAGAUUCUGUAUGGAGAACAUGAAGAGCUACUCAUCAUCAGCAACACCAUUCUUCCCAUUCCUGAAGACACUUUGACUUGAAAGGUUGCCUCAUUUAAUGGAAUGGGGAAAGAGGGGCGUAGCAGCAGAGCAAGCUCCUUCAUUUCCUUGUCUUUCCAAACUAAAGAUCAAAGUUUGCUGGCCGGCCCUAAAUUGAUGUCCUUGGCAUUGCCUUCAUCUCCUUCUAGUCUUUCUAUUCUAGAUAUCAACGAAUGCAAUAACUUGGCAUCCUUGGCACUACCAUCAUCUCCUUUUCUUUAUGGUUUCUCAAUUAGACAUCAGCUCUUGCAAUAACUUGACAUCAUCGACACUUUCUUCAUUUCCUUGUCUUUCUCAAUUACAUAUCAAUUUUUGCCAGAACUUGAAAUCAUUACCAUUGUCUUUGUUCCUUGUCUUUCGAAAUUGCAUAUCAGUUCUUGCCAUAAAUUUUUGCAAUAAAUUACUGUUUUUUGAGGAUUUGUUUUGAAAAUAAAUUACUUUUUGCAAUAAAUUUGAGGUGUUUUUAAAAAAUAAUAGUUUUUAAAUUUUUUUAAAACACUGAGGUAUAAAAAAAAAUUAUUAAUUACCUUAAAUUUUAAAUCUUUUAAAAGUGACUUAUUUUUAUUUUUAUUUUUUCUUCAGGAUAUGUAAGCCAUCUCUUAUUUGACCAGGGACUUGUGGAGCUGUUGUCGUUACCUGUAAAAGCUUGUGCAUGAUGGACAAUGAUAUAGUACCAAACAGGAAAGGAUUUGGUGGAGCUUCCCUUUAAAGUAUGUGCAUGAUGAUGAAUUAUGAUCAUUUGAGGGAUUGACGAUUUUUAGAAAGAAAAAAGUGAAUUUGAAAAAGAAAAUGUCUGAAUGAUACUGACACCCAGCCUGUAAAGCACAAAGUGUGGUCAGACUAUACGAAUCAAACUUUAGCAACAUUGCCAAUGUAUUGGUCUCAGCAACACCAAUUUAAAAAUCCCCAUUAAACUCGGUAGCUCAGUGUUUACAGAUUUUGUGUUCAUGGCUGGUUCUCUUGAGAAUGCCAUGGUGCUGUCAUCAACAACCGAUGAAGAUGAGAAACAGAAGGGAAGUAGAAGCAAAAGAGAGAUCAUUUCCACCCUCCCAACUGAAAAAGGCUGGAAAAUUCAGGGUCUUAUGUACCAGUACCAAGGCUUUUGGUACUAUUCUGGGGGUGCGGUAGAAGGAGUCAUGUGGAUGCAAAAAUGCUUCAAGGCAAGGAAUGAAGAUGUUCUCUUGGUCUCCUUUCCAAGAUGUGGAACAACAUGGUUGAAAUCUCUCAUGUUUUCUAUCAUGAAUCGAACCAGGUAUGAUUUCUCAGCACACCCUUUGCUGACUUCUAGCCCUCAUGAACUUGUUCCCUUCUUGGAAUUCUACGCAGAGCAGAACAUCCCCUUCCCAGACCUGGACACACUUUCCUCUCCUCAGCUCUACCAUACUCACAUUGCCCUCACUUCAUUACCCCAACCUGUCAUAGACUCUCAGUGUCGAAUUGUCUAUAUCUGUCGCAACCCCAAAGAUGUGUUUGUUUCUAUUUUUUGUUUUCUCUCGAGAUGGAAUAUAGUGGUUCCCCUUGAAGAGGCAUUUGAGUUGUUCUGCAAAGGAAUUAGCGUGUAU
rnacentral:lncRNA from 1 species